UUUAAAUAACUUCUAGGAAAACAAAAUUUUUAUAAUUUUUGACGUCAUUUACCUUACGACUCAAGAGGUCACAAAUUUGACCAAUUAUUUAACGGCCGGUAUGGGAUACUUUUAGUUAACGGUGUAUUAAGAAUCAGAAUUGGUUGAAAUUUUUUUUGAUAGAAAAUUCUAUUCACUAUAUAGAUAAGAUCCAAUAACUCCGAUCUUGACUUGAAGAUCCGAUAAUGCUUUUUUAGGAUUGUCAUUCGAGUUUUGACCGUUUCAUUUUAUGCCCAAUUUGAUGGACUUAUUAUGAUUUCGAAAAUUUAACGAAAUUUAUUUUAAUAGAAGUUUCAAAUACUCUAAGAUCAUAUUUAACGGAGUGAUCGUCCGAUUUGGAAGCUCCCAUCAUCGAAAACAACUUAUGAAGUACGAGGGCUCCAAAUACUCAUAAUAGUAUAGUAGCCAUGGCCAUAUAUAUAUGUAUGAUGAUACUAAGAGGACCAUUAAGAUUCAUUUCUAUAGAUAGGAUUCACCUCAAAAUAGAAAAAGAUUGAUCUAAGACUGGAAGUUCGCAAGGAGCUCCGGCAUGGCACGUCCAAUAAAAGUAUUAAGCAUAGAAUAAUGAAGUAUCUCCAAUUAAUCUUUUAUUUUUAUUAUUAGUCUUAAAUGAUUUAAGACUUAAUUCUAAGUCAUCAUUUCAACUAUUAUGUAUACUAUCUAGAUUAGAACAAAAGUUUCAAUUUCAGUAGUUCUACUCUCUAAAAAUAUGAUAAAAUCUUAAAUAACUCCCUAAUACUGGUUAGGGAUACUUAAUUUUAACAAAACGACAUUUACGAGAUGUUUUAACCCUCUUGAAUAGCUAAACCGGAAAGUUUCGAAAACGAAAUAGCAUAAUUGAUCGAAAUAUUAACUAACUAGUUUAAAUUUUUAUCAAACAAUUUGCUCCUCUAUCAUUAUCUUCAUGGCCAAUAUAUUGAACAUGAUUGACAUCUUAAUUUUAAGGUAUUAAACUCUUUAAAAUCAACUACAAAAGUUUAAUCUCGUAGUUGAUAAAAUCACUAUUUUGGAGCCUUAUAGCAUGCAAUUAACUCAUACAAAACCUCUUUAAAAAUAAAGGCAAUUCAUAUACUUAAUGUAUUGGCCUAUUCAAAGUAGCAAGACGAUAAGUUAAUAAACAGAAUCUCUUUUGAGCUUUAUGUGGUUUGGUUCGGGAUAAAGGGGGGGAUAGGGUUACCCCUGACAUCCAUCCUCUCACAAUUUAGUUUGUACAGGAAGUCCUUCAAAAGCAGAGCAAGGAAAAAUAAAAGAGGGAGUGGGGCAAAAAAAAGGCAGAGAUUAUGUUAGUCCUUUGCAUUACUAAUCCCAGGUUCACACAGUUAUUGCAGUAACAAUCAAAGAAUGGUGAAAUGGCUCUUAAAAGAGAUCAUCGAGAAAGGUGAGCAACUUUUUCUCUCAAUGCAGCCGCUUCAGUAUCAUUCUGUAUUAGCAUGCAUGCAAUUUCUACCUUAACUCAAGUGGUAUUAUUUACAAAUUCUUUUUAGGUUCAAGAUUGUACUAAUUGUUUCUUGCAUUUUGUAACAAAGUUUGUAUUUUAAAUUGUAUUUUCCAGAAGUACAUGAAUUUGUUUAUUUGUUGGUAUUGCAUCUGAGAGAACAAUGUGUCUACACAUUUGGAUUGGCAUUUUUGCCACUUGGCACUUGAAUUUAUGUUCCACUAUUUAAUUUUCAUUUUGGAGUAACAGACACCAUCUAUCGUUGCUUUAUUUGUUCUCAGAUUUACAUAACCUAGAAGGAAUAAGAAAUCGUUUUGUUUGUAGUGACUUUAUUUGGAAAAUUUCCAUUUCUUGGCAACCUGUAGUAUUGUAUUAAUUAUUGUACUUACUUUUUCUCCUCAGGUAAACGAGAUUCGGUCGCUAUUUUUUCCUUCUUACUAAUUCAUCAAGCUGCAAGCCCCUGUAAAGUUUUUACCUCAGUUACGAACAAAGGUGUGUUGUCAAUUUUUUCUGUCAUCGUAUGUAAUGUUGUCAAUUGUCCUGACAGAUUAAUUUAUUGCCGCCUGAAAUUGGUCGCCUACAUUGUAACAACCACUGAACCUUUAUACCAUCCCAUCUCCAUUGGCAGAAAACCUGCAAUUAAUUCCUUAUUUUAAUUCUGACCAUGAAAAAUGCACUCAAGUAGAAUAUAAGAUGAUUCACACUUGCCUUGCAUGCGAGGCCAACAAUCAUUAAUGCCCCUUCAAUUUCCAAUCUACAGAAGAUGCAAAAAAAUUAUAAAUAAGAUCAUAUUUUCACAUCUGGGUACUUUUACCAACACAAAUAAUCUGCUCAUUCAACACAUAGACAGAUGUAUUUACUCACUCAACCCAUUUCUUCUCCCGUCAGCAAAGAACCCUUCACAACGCCGUCAGCGUCCUUUCUCUUCAUCACGGAAUGUUGUCUUUUGACCUCGCUCUGCCCCGCGCAAUCUCUCGCAACUGACCCAUUCUUGCGAUUCCCGACCCGGCACCUCAAUCUCGCAGCUCAUAUAUUUGCCAUUCAUUCUGAUCACAAACCGGAUAAAUCCCCAACUGAUUGCGGCAACCUGCUCCCCAUACCUCCCUGCCUCCGGCCGCGGAGGCACCUUCAGACAGCCUUCUUCUUCCUCCCGGCCGGUAAUAAACCAAGAAUGGGCUUCUCGGAACAGCCCACGGCUGAUCAUCAAACAUAACGCUCUUCUCAGCGCCGCUCCUCCCCCGCCUCCUCCUUAACCUCAUCCCGUCCAUUGUCGCCGCCCACUUGACAACCAGCGCCGCUGCGUCUCCGUCUCGCCUCCUUGAGUCGCGGCGUCGGGCCUUUGCGGCCCUGACCUUCUGGGAUGGCGUGGAACUCAAGGGAGGGGCCUCGCGAAGGGGGGUGGACGGAGUAGAUGCGGCCGGGAGGGGAGGUAAACGCAUGGGGUGGUCCACCCUCCUCCCUCGCUCAUGGACGACACCAACCAAUGGCGAAGCGCCAUAGGAUCUAGAGGGGAGGUGGAGAAUGGGGGGAAGGAAGGCUAGGGUUUCAAUUUACGAUUGAAGAGGGGACCUAGGGGUAGGGUUGGGGUGCUAAAACUUUGGCGCGUUUUCCCGCCGGAGGGUUCUACUCCUCUCUCUCUAUCAUCCUCUCUCGUCUCUCUCUCUCCUAUUCCCUCUCUGCUGGGCGGAAUAAAAGGAAGUUUUUAUAUAAGGGCCUUUGGUAUCUGGCCCGGCUUCAACGAGGGAAUAUCGGCGGAUACCCGUUCCAUGAAGUUAUUUGCCUGUAGAAAUGAGAUAAUCAUAAAACCCUCCUUGUGUCUAAGUAAAGCAUGAAUCAGGCAAAUAGUCUGUUUUGUUGGUUUAUACAUCUUGAGGUUGGGUUUCAGUUUGGUAAUAUUAAUCAUACAGUGUCCGGCCUUUGGAUGGGAAAAAUUCUUUAAAUCUGCACCAACCAUCUAUGUACAGGCAGCCUAAGAGUAAUUCAAGAUUGAUGUUGACAAAAAGGGCUGAAAGCGACGUCAUCUUCAUGGCGACUCAAAGAUUGAGCCAUAGAGAUUUGAAAUAUACUAGAUUGUCUUAUUUUAGAUGCAAGCCACAAUGGGAAGCCUCAAGAUUGUCGCGACAUUAACUGGUUUUUCUCCAUGACGGCAGGAAGCAUAUGCCAUAUUUUUGGGGGCACAUAGUGUGGAACUAUAUUGGUGCAUGUCCUUGGCACUGACGAGAAUGAUGAUUGCCUGAACUUUGUGGCUUUGACAGUGAUUCUUACCAAAUAUACUUUUUUUCCCAUGCAAAGACUGGAUACGGUGUCCAGAAUUGAUUAGGAUUUAUCAUUAGUUUUCACAGUUUAAUUGCUCAUUAUCUCCUGCUUCUGAUUUUAGUCACUGGUGAUUGAAUAGUCUAGUAGUUUGACAUAAAUUAAGCAAUUUAGACUUUUUUUUAAUUUUUGAUUGGAUCCCAUGAACCUAUGCUAUUCUAUUGGACUCUAUAUUAUCCCUAUAUAGUGGCUAGAUUAGGGAAUGUGCUUUUACAGGGGUAAAUAACUUCUUAAGAAUUAGAAAAUGUUGGAAAUUGGGCAAACAAUGAUAUCAAAUACCAUGAACUCAUUACUAUAAUGCUUGUUUCAUGGGCCCUUCUAGAGCCCAUUCUACUUGAUAUCCAAUGCUUAGAUGGUUGCACAACAGAAACUUCUAGAUACUUGUUUUGUUUCGACAUAAAGUGAAGUGAACUUUCCUUGCCUAAAAGCAGAAAGUCCCUAAAUGAAGCUUCUAUUUUGGCUGCAUUGUGUAGGCUUUAACGGACUAUAAUCCUAAACCAUUGGCAUUUUUGGAAAUCAACCUCUACUGUUUAAAACACUCUUGUAGAUGCCUGUGAAUCUUAAAAAAUGCCAUUACUAUUAUAUUUGAGUUGUUCUGAAUGUUUCUACUACUAAGAUAUGAAAAGCGAGAAAAAUUUUCAAGUCCUUAAAUCUUGUUGGGAGGUAAGAUCUGAUGAUCGUUGAUUUCUGAAUCUGUAAUCUCUGUUGCUAAUGAAAUUCCUAUAAGUAUUUUUACGCCAGUUUGUUUACUAACUUAUAGUGUGCUAUCAAUGUGAUUCAGUUUUGUGUAUUGUAAUGAAUAUUAGUUAACCGCAAUUUUAUUUUGGAAGAUUAUUUUUUAGUUCUGAAAAAUGCUCAAAUAAGAUGCGGCAUGUUAGUUUGUCUUCCUGUUGUGUUUUGAUAAGAUGUUAUAUUGGUCGUAUGCUCUUGCUGUCUAGAUACCUCUAACCUUAGAUUAUCAUACUUCAUUGUGCUUUUCUUUUUGUAACUAGUAACUUGAAAUUCCUUACGCUUUGUCUUGUCCGGCUGAGGUUGUUUUAAACAGGACAUGCUAUGUGGCCGGCCUGUUGUUAUGGAUGAGUCAAUAUGUUGGUGCGAGGGGGUUUUGAAGCUAGCUCUGGGUAGAUAAUCAGUUCUUGUACAAUUUUUUGGAACGCAAUGAUUUUGCAAGGUUCAGUACUUUUAUUAGAGAUCAAGUAGGACUGACGCUUAAAGUAACUUUUUAGCCUUUGUUUUGUUUUCUCAAUGAUCUGAUAAGACUUUAUACUCGAAAGAAUUUUGAAAGGUAGUCUAGAGAUCAACUUCGUCUUGCCUAUAGAUCCACUUCUUUCAGCUAGAAAUGCAUUGGCUAUUGUAUGUCUGCAAAAAUUUAAUUUUAUUGUUUUGAAUUGUCAUAAAAGUUGCCUUUCUGUUUCAGGAUUAGGUCGAAAUAUGCAAUUCCAUUUCUCAACGGUCUGCUUUCCUCCCUUUGCAUUUGAAGUGCAAGCAAGCACGGUUUUAUCGAAGCUUAGAUGAAGCAAAAAUGUAUGGCUACCCGCAAUUAUAUGCUUUAAGUAACAUUAAUGUAUGGAAUCUCAUUUAGUAUGAUUACCCGUUUUUCUUAAAUUAGUAAAUCUCUAAGUAAAUUAUGAUCUAAACUUAUUUAUUUGACUUGACACCUAUGGUAUUAUUAGUUUUGAAACCCUGUGUUAGACCCUAGCUCACAGACCUUGAUUUAAUACUUUUAGACCAUCCUAGCUGUGUUGUUGCCUGGAGGUCAUUAUUCAUAUGUUUUUAGUGUAGGCAUGUACUCUUAUAUUUGCGGCAUGUAUUUAUUAUUUAUUUUUUGAUGAUUUUUUUAUAACAUACCUAGUUGCUGGUGUUCUUAAAUGCUUUUAAUUAGUAUGAUGUUCUGUUUCCUUAUAGUUGUAUGAAAGCAUAUUUGUAGAAUUGUGAGUUGCUGGUACUUCUACCUAACUUUAGGCUUUUUCUGUUAAAUGGCUUUGAGUUUUUAAUUUGUAGCAAUCACUUUUAAUUUGCCUUCUGGUUGCCCUUAUCUUUUCACUAUCCACAAGUCAGCUUUUACUUGUUGUGAAGUGGCGAGCAGUUGAUUGACCUUAUUUUUUUUGUUUAUGAGGAUUGUUAGAGAUUGUCUGUGCUAUCAGCGCCCUUGCUUCAUUGCCAACUUAUUCUAGCAUUCUCCACAUGCGUUAAUCAGCUCACUUCACUUUUCCAAUUGGUUUUUUAUAUUCGCUUGUGCGAUGAUCCUUUGUUUACCUAUUUGUGUACUCAAACUUAGAGUUACCUGUUAAUAACAUCUGGAAUUCAUUAUAUAAUCAUUGUCUUGUUUUUUGAGUGAUUAUUAUUAUAGGUAUCUCAGCACACAACAGCUUCCCCAAAGAACAUGCUGCAGCUGCAGAAAAGUAUAGGUCAGAUGAAUGCAGGUUAAAACGGAGAUGAUGGAAUAGACUCUUGUGAUGAUAAUUGGAAGAUGAUUCAUGCAGCAACUUGGAUUGUGUGCAAAUGCUCCAAUCGAAAUGGGGAAUCUUCGUGUAACUUCUCCUAGGUAAUUUGACCAAAAAGAAACUACAUGCACGAAAUAGAAGUACUGCUUUCUCCUAGAUUAGAUCCUUGCAGAACAUUGUUACUUGCAUCAUCAUGAGUUUAGUAGAUCAAAUUAAGUGGAAAUGCUAUUCUUUUCUGAUUUAUAUAUUUAUUAUCAUGUUUUUCUUUCAGGGGAAUUGUCUGUGAUUAGAUCAUUUUCAUAACAAAAAGAACAUAUGACCCUGAAGGUUAUAANNNNNNNNNNNNNNNNNNNNNNNNNGCGCAGCGCGUAUACGUCCGUACGUCGUCUUGGUAUGGCCCUCAACCUCAUGAUGUUCGCGCCAUCGUGAUCGAGGAAGUGAAUGCUCCAUCGACUCUCCUUACUUGGGAGCGUCGAGAUAGUAUAUAUAUACUUAUAUAUAUAUGUGUGAUCGAUCGAAGAGGGCGAUCAUGAUUAUAUAAAUAUAUAUAUAUUAAGUAUCCUCUUCGUCGAUCACUAAAGAUGCAUCUUGCCAUCUUUCUCUUCGGACUAAAUAAUCAAGUUUAUUAGUUCGCUCGUUGAAAAAAAUGAAUGAAAAUUUUGUUUUCGCAGCUUGAAUUUUCGUUGCCCCAUAAAUAAAGUUUUAUUGUUAUUUUUUCCAAAUUUGUAAAAUAUUUAUUACGUGGGAAUCAAGCAAAGAAAAUUAUUUUAUUGAUUUGAAAAUAAUUUUUGGAUUCAUUUUAAGGCCGAACCAAUGAGUUGUGCUAGGUACUUUAAUUUAAAUAGGCGUGGACCGUUCGGAUCCUGAUCACUUAUCCAUUUCGACGGCGGGCCAGCCUCACUCAUCAGUGUCAAUCUUUGCUGCGCCGCCCAACUGUCGGAGGGGUUAAUUUUUACAUUGACUCUGGACAAAACCACGUCCAGCAGUUGACACUAAUUAAUAUGUGCUCUAUAUAAGAAAAUUUAUUAUUGCAUUGCUAGUAAUACAUUUAAUAAAUAUACAAAUGUGGCGAAUAAACAUCGGUUCGUUUGAUUUCAAUUUUUAGAAUUUAUGAAUAGAAAUGUGGAAUCAAAUAAGGAUUCGAACUUGCGAUCCAUCGAAGUAAUAACCACCAAGCUUUUGCCACUUACUCGUUAGGACGCCGUCGACGUUCUAUUGGUUAUAAAUAUCUAGUUAUUUAGCAGUAUAUUCAUUCAUUGAUACAUGAUGAAUAGAUUCUAGCAUAAUAUUAUAUCCAAUACAAAUGCGUAUUAUACUCAUUGCAGCUUGUUCAUAUCUAAUUCUCAUAUUGUACUGGCGCUAGAAUUUAAUACUAUUAUACUCCAUAUCGAUCAGCGUUAGUCCUUCUUUUUUUUGCUACUAAUUGGUGGUAUGUAUUGGCUCAGCGUGCCUAUCUAAAUCUUCACUCCACAUUCUAUAUUGUCACAUAAUUUAAACACAAUUCGCGUCCUAUUGCCCAUAUUAAAUACAUUUCUCAUACGAAAAUGUGUAGAAUUAGAACAAUAAGACGAUUCAACUUAUAUUAUGGGAUCUUGAAAAUGCUUCGGUAUGCCUUUUAUAGGGUAAUAAACAUGCAUGUUACGUUCAUGUAUCCUAUUUGUUUAAACUCAUGGAACUUUUAGUGUUUGAACAUUAAUCAAAAGACAAGUAUUAAUUAGUGAAUCUUUCUCUCCUCUCACCCGCCUCCACUUAUAAGUCAUUAGUUACUGCUAUAAAAUUAGGCUACAGUAACAUUGGCUCUAUGGAUUUAGCAGGUAUUAUCAUAUAUGACACGCAGUUGUAUACCCUGUGCGGGCGAUAAUUUAGUUUGACAGUCUGAAUAAAGGCCAGGGAUAGCUUUUUUGAAAAUAACUUCUUCCACUCUAACAAGAUUUAUUUGAUAAAAUUCAAUUCUAUGGAGAAAGUUGGCAUAAAUCCUCAACAUUCUCACUGCAAUUUUUUUCACUGUUUUAACACACUAGACUUUUUAACUGUAGGUAAUUAUCGAGCCCUAAAUCCUUAUCAAAAGUAAUUUAUAGAUUUUUUCUUGAAGCAAAUUAAUAAUUAACAACUGUUUUGUCGUAUGCUCUUGUUACAUAUUUUUAUAAUUAGUUUUAAAUUUGUUAAACAUAUCUCUGCUAUUAAUUCAUUGAAAACAGCAAUAAAUUAUGAAUGGGAUGCAGCGCUGCCUAUAUAAAUAUUUUUCAGAUUCUAAUACUUUUACUUUUAUCCGCUGGAGUUAUUUAGGAUCAUCAAUAAGACAUAUGAAGCACGACUGCCGUUCAAUUAGUAAACUUUGUAAGAGUGGAACAUCAAUUGGAUUUUAGCAAUGUUAGUAUGUUAAAAAUUGGCUGCAGUAUAAUCUUGUUGUACGUAGGUAGUUAAUGAAAAAAGCAAUUUGCGGACAAAUUUAAUCAGUGCAUUGGUUGAGCAUGCUGGUUUUAUAGUUCUAACAUCUAUGUGGCAACCAAGUGAUGUGAUGCGGCUCAAUUUUUUCAUGAGUUGUUGUUGUGUCGUAUCGUCGUUGUUUUUUUUUUUUUUUUUUUUUCCUCUUUUUGUUUAUAUAUAUUAAUAUAUAUAUAUAUAUAUAUAUAUAUAAUAUAUAUAAUAUUAUAUAUAUAUAUAUUAUAUAUAUAUAUAAUUUGCUGUUUUCUAUGUCUGUCUUUCAAUCUCUCAUUUUAAGUAAUUUGCAUCUGGCCAGUGCCACUUUGUGGUUCCCGAUUAGGUUUUGUAUUCUGGAUUUUUUUUGUUUUGUAUUUUGUUGUGAUUUAUUGUGAGCUAAACAUUUAUAUAGAUAUAUAUAUUUUAUGUAGUGUGACCUUAUGUUGUCCAAGCUGAGGGCCCAAAUUUAGCGUUUAUCUUCGUCAUUUUGCUGGGAUUUUAGGCAUUUUGAAUGAUAGUGUGGACUUUAUUUAAACGGGGGGUUACGAGAUCCGUUACUUUGUCUGUGUCAACUUUCAUUGACAUGAUUUAAUAUAGGCAAAUACGACAAUUCUCACUCUCUCCCCUCUCUCUUCUAUCUAACCAAAAACACGUACAUAUGAAUUAAAGAUUUGGGUGUAGAAUGAAUCAUUUAGCUAUCAAACUUCCUUAGUGAUUUUUCUUUGUGUGGGUUCAACAAAUUGCAUGUUCUUUCUAGUACUCUUUCUAGUCGCACUUCAUCUGUCAUGGUUUUGACAGUAAGUGACGACUUGGAUUAUCUAAUUAGCCUUAUCUCUGAUGCUCGCAUCCUUCUACGAUCUCACGGGGAUUAGACGUGACUAUUUAUCUCACUUACUCUUUAUUCUUUGUGGGCUGCAUGAUUUUGUCAAACUAGACUAGAGCAAUGUGCUCCGGCCCCGUCAUCUUAUUCGUCCCCUUGGCCUUCCCAGGCCUUAGCCUCUACCUACUUGCAUGAUGCUCUUUAUGUUUUGCCAGAUGACAACGUUGAACAACUCCUUUUAUGCCAAAGUAGGUAGGAACCGCACGAUGCGGCGGAUAAUAAUUAUAGUUUAAUUAAUUUAAUAAUAUAGAAAAUACUUAAAAUUUUUAGAAGUAGAAUUAUUAAUUCAAUGAAAACAACAAAAAGAUUAAAAAAACUAUAAAAAAAAAAAAAUUUGUUCCAUUAGAAACGCCUUGUGUACAUAUUUAGUGCUUCUUACUAAACACCGAUUGAUUCGUGUAAGUACCCACGCGAGCCUUCAUCCCUUUUCGGCAAGUAGUCCUUAUAUUCUUAACAUAUUCUUGUCCUCGAGAGCCAUUAGAGGAGAGGAUACAUACCUUUGCAUACACUAUACAUUAAAUUUAAGUGGUUGAGAUUGACGGAGGAGGCGUUAGGGCUAGCGUUAGAGUUCGACUCACCCGCUUAAGUUGACGGCGAGGGGAGGGCUCGACGGCUUGCGCGCCUGGGGGGUGAGGUGAGAGCGGACCGUAGUAGGCUAGGUCGUUGUCGUGAGACGCGAUGCCUGGCCCGGGACUCCGAGGGUUUCAAGAAAAUAGAAACUAAUGAGCGGGAAGUUGAACCAACAUGUUACAGAGAAGAAAAAGAUUAUGAGACAGGAAUGCCGAUAGGACAUACGUUACGGAAAGAAAGUAAUGGAGGAAAGCCGAAGAGGCAGACUGUUAAGAAGAAAUUAAUAUAAACGGAAAAGCCAAAGAGACAGACAUUACGACGAGAAAGACGAGCGCAGGUCACAAUAUCGGAGAGCUAAAACUUUUGAGAAGGAGAGACUAUGAUGUGUGCAGUAGGCAAAAAAUUUAUGAGACAUAAUGUAUGUGUUAGAUUGCUACUUUAGCGUCUUGUCUGUCCGUUUUCUUAUGUUUUGUCUUAUUUUGCUCAACUUCACUUUUUGGUCGCUUACUAUUACUGAGUCAAACCCAAUGCUUAAUUGCCGUUUUCUUACUCCUCUGUAGUCACUUUUCCAUCUCUAAUCUUGGGCUUACUACUCUUUUUGAAUUAAAGUCCUAGCACACUUCAACUAUCUUAUGGACAACUUCCAUAUGAAAUUUUAGGAUGCGGAAGAGAAAAUGCCCUUUUUUCAUGUGGCGGUUGCUGCCAUCUUGAUCAAUUUAGUCUAGCAAAUUUACCAUCCAUCGCUUUUUCUGUAAAUUACUAAUCGUAUACACAGCACUUGUUGGGGCCGCGUCUUUUCCUUGAAGCAAAUCCUUUUCAACAAUCGAGGGUCUACCUCUACCGUUACUUGGGAAUGCAGUGGACUCGAUGUUAGAAAUCCGAAAUUUUUAGACUGAGAUUUUAAAAUACAUUCAACAAGUUGGCAGUGAGCUUCGAAUUGCCGCCACUGCCUUUCCAUGUCAUCGACGGGCAUCUCCUUAACCCCGUCCUUCUCAGCUUUGACCUCUUUAGAUUAGCGCAUGCGCCCUAGCCGUUGGAGCCAAAGAAGAGGAUCCUUCUCUAGAUCUCUGUGGUCUAGGUUAUUUUUGAUGCCAGCUCUCAUUCCAGCCAACCCAGCACGUCGACGACCUCCUCAGUUGCAGCAUGACCUUCUUAAUGGGUGCUUGGAGCAUCACAGUGUCUAUUCACAGAUUUAAAUUGGUCUACUGAUCUACUAGAUUCAUUGUCCUGGCUCCGAAGGCCUCGAUCUUGGAAGAAAAGGUUGCUUCGGAGGAGUCUUCGGUGCUUAUUGCGCGCUUUCAGACAAGUGACCAGUGUUCAGGAAUCGACAUUUUACUAGUAAAUGUUCUUAGUCAGAUUCAAUAUGCAAUCCUCGAUAACAGCCUAAAACUCUAUUUUCAUUUAGUAAAAUUUGCUUAUAGAGUGGAUGUUUUAGCUUUUAAAAAUGUAAUUACACCAUAUUAAUGGAUGCCUCGGAUAGUGUGAACACAUAUCUAUAUUUGACCUCUGGCUCAUUGUCCUAGAGUCCGAAUUUGUCGUUGUUGAUGCUUGACAUGGGCUUCGUUUGCAAUUAUCUCAAAAUGGUGAUAUUGGAUUUUUUGUAAUUUGUGGAAAGUGAUCUGAAUGGGCUUAUUACUAUUGAUACGUGAUACAGUGAAGGGAUCAGUGGUUGUUUAGGAGCCGAAAUUGACACUAUUCAGAGAUCCUGAUAACACAUAUAUCUGACUACAGAUUAUUAAAUGCUUUUGUGUGCAUAGUCCAACAUCAAAUUGCUGAUGUUUUAGUGAAUAUUAGACAACUAAUUUUAUUAAGUGAUUGAUAGAAUAUUAGGACACUUCAUGGUUGCGAACGUGUUCAGUGGUUCUCAUGAGUUUAUGCGACUUUUGAGAACGUAAAAGGAACGGAUUACUCGAUUGUGAUGAAUUGUGAGUUAAAGUGAUUUGGAUCACUCUAGGCGUUGGGUGAUGUGGUGUUGGGUUGUGAACCAUUUUUGGACUCAACAAGUUGAUGAUAGAUAAUGGAUCUUCGGUUGUGUUAAAACAACUUUUGGUCCAAAUAAACAAGCGCUGGACAAGAGCAGAUGUUGAUAUGCUAUAUGACAUUACCAACAUGUCUGAAGGUAAGUGAAGUCCCGAUGAGUAUUAGAAGAGUUUACGCAGUUGCUUGGCGCGAAAUAGAGUAAGUAUGCCAAAACGGCAGUCUGGGGACUGCGUACCGGUGAAGCCAGAGUAUCGGUAGCCAGGCAGGCAACUGAGAAGGUGCUCUCCGGUUUGGGCAUUUUCGGCGAGCUGUAAUACACCGAAUUUUAAUAUAAAGUAAUAUAAAUAAUAUAGUGUAGAUACCGUAUUUUAUGGACUUGAAAUAAAACAUAGUCGGAAAUCACCGGUGUACUUGAGGUAUCGGAACCGAACAAAUUUUUAGAUUUUCUGUAAGAAAUAGGAUUGAUAGUUUAGCAGAAAUGUUAUAGUGUCAAAAACAGUUAUGAAAGCUUGGAAAUAUUGUCGGAGACGGAAUUUAUUUUUUAUGAGGUUGAUUUUAAAGUUUAUGUUAUUCCGAAGUCCGGAAGUGAAAAAUAAUUGAUGCUAUCUGCUAGAGAUUUCAGUUCGUAAAACUUUCGGUCGCACAAAAAUGGUCUAAUGUGGAAGUUAAGAAUAUAUUUUUUUUUGACCUUAAACGAGCCUGGCUUCAAAUUGAUGCGCAAUGGAUUCAGAAGGGGCUCGGCGAAAGUAUUGAGAUUACUGAGCUGCUAAAUUAAAAUUAGUUAUAUAUGUGGGAAUAUGUAGAACCUUGCCUUCCGUCUCAUUCGUCACUCCGAACCCGGAGAGGAGAGAGGGAGGAAGCAAGGCCUGUCUCCUUUCUCUCCUUUCAUUCUAGCUCACAUCUCUUUCUCUCUAGCAUAAUUCUCCAGUGUAAGAGGAAGCUUUGGGAGAUGAGUUGGGAGAUGAAGCUUGGAGCUUCAAUGGAUGAAGCAAGCUCUUCAAUGGUGAUUGCUUGGAGCUCUGGGAAUAGGUGAGAUUUGUGGAUUUUAAGGUUUAGGCGCUCUUUGUGUAAAUCCUUUGGAAUGAUAUAAAUGGAAACUGCCUAUAUGAUUCUAAUAUGGUUUAGAGCAGGAUUAUCAUGAUUAAUGAGGACUCUCUUGAUGAGAAUGGAGCAACUUAGCGGUUUGAAUUAGGAUUUUUGAAUUUAAAUCCUUGUGUGCUUGAGAUUCUAAUGAUCUCUAGAGUAUCUUUAGCAAUGUUUUCUAAAUUUACUAUGGGUGUAUUGGAGAUUUUGUUUCUGCUAUGGGUUAGACAUGAGGGUUUUUGGAGGUUCUGUGUAAGUAAAUAAGGGAAUUCUUCUGCGUCCUUUAAUCUUCUGGGAGAGCUGUGGAUAUAUAUAUAUAUACCAAGGUAGGUAGGUACGUAUACUGUCUGCGCGAGUUCCGCCUCAAUCAUCUCAUCUAACACGUCGGCCGGUGGAAGAAAUCAAAGAAAGAAUCAGCAAUGAAUGCAUGCUACAUAGCUAGCUACCUUGAAGAGGUCGGUCCCUUUCAGUGAUAUAUAUGAUCACGUACCAACAAGAUGCAUGCGGGAUCUUAAUUAGGAGGAGUUUUGGGCUUCAUUGGUGAACUUCCUCUAGCAGUCUAGCAGCUAUCAUGGUCGGUCCACCUCCUUGCGUAGCAUUUUAAUAAUGUUCGUAUUUCCUAGCUCCUUAUCAACUUACUUCAGCUGACUUCAAUUCAUUGAUGCAAUGACUAAUUUGUAAUGUUGAUAUUCCGCAAGCUACCCUUGAUAUUUCGUUGCUAGACUAACUAGCACUUGAAAAAUGGUUACCGUUAGUUAUAUUUCAGUACGUCACUUUUGUGACAUGUUGAAAAUAUUAUAUUUUAAUGUGUUAAUGGAAAGCAUCAUGUUAGCUUUGACCGAUGCAUAUUCCCCUUUGAUUGCGGGAGGUGAGAAUGUAAUGCCCCAUAAUUAAUUUUUCAAUUUUAAUAUAGAUUAUUAUUAUUAUUAUUAUGAUAUUUAGAUUCUUGAAUUUUAAAUUUUCAGAUAUGACAUGUUCGAAUCAGUGCAACUUUUUGUGAUUUUUUGAAAUUUGAAGUCAUGCUUAAAUUUUUAUUUGACAUGCCGAAUUUUGGUAUCAGGCUACCGCUGGGGAUCAUUGGGAGACCAAACUCGACCAUCCUUGCUUUUCCAGUUGAACAUGUAUGAUAGAAAUUUCUCUGCACCUUGAGCUCACAUUUCUAUAAUCUAUAUGAGUCGAGUUUCAUCUCGUUUAGGCUGUUUGGGACAAGUUCGGACUUGAACUACAGUUUCUAAUCAAUGUACGGUCAACCGACCACAUCCUCCUCGCAAUCGACCAGCAAGGAACACCGACAAAAAAAAAAGCUCUUGCCGUGUGCAUGCACGGACCCGCCGAGUUUGUACAAGAUUGCCUUCACACACGAAGCAUCAACAACUAACGAAAUUCCAAAUACUAAAAUAUAAGUCGACGAUUAUCGAAGGUUAUAAACAACAACUAUCGUCGGACCAUAGCUUUACAUCCAAAUGCGUCAUGAAUUCGAACAUCCACAAUAGGCUUUUGAAUGGAUGAAACGGAAUAUGAACUAGAUGGCAUUUAUAAAACAACUGCAGUUCUCUUCUAUAAUAAUAAUAGCCAGUCAAUACAUUAGUUGAUUCUUAGCAUCAGAAGGAAAGCUACAUUUUACACAAGCUUUACAUCCUAUUCCUCCCAAAUCGGGAAAAUCGAUUGCAAGUUUGUAAAACAAUAACUAAACAGGUGUAAAGCAACAACACGACUGGAUGUUGUCGUAGCUCAUCAAUCCUACAUCAGCACCGGAGGCCGUUUUCUAAAAUUGGUCAGUUGCAUUACAAUUUCAGGGCAAAAUUAAUCUGCAGGACAAUGACAACAUUAGUACCGAAGGACAGAAAAAAUUGAAACACCACCUUUGUUCUGUAACUGAGGUCAACUUACAGCUUGCACCUGUGAUGAAUUAGUAAGAAGGAAAAAUAGCGACGAAUCUCGUUUUACCUGAGGAGAAAAGUAAGUACAAUAAUUAAUACAAUACUACGUUGCCAAGAAAUGGAAGAUUUUCCAAAUAAUAGUCACUACAAACAAAGAACAUUUGCUAGUUCCUUCAGUAUGGUAAAUCUGAGAACGAAAUAAAGCAACCGAUAGAUGGUGGUCUUAUACCUCAAAUGAAAAUUUAAAUAGUGGAACAUAAUUCAAGUGCCAAGUGCAAAAAUGCCAUACCAAAUGGCUGUUAGACACAUGUUCUCUCAGAUGCAAACCAACAAAUAAACAAAUUCAUGUACUUCGGAAAAUACAAAUUUAGAAUACAAACUUUGUUACAAAAUGACAAGAAACAAUUAGUACAAUCUGCAACCUAAAAAGAAUUUGUAAAUAAUACCACUUGAGUUUAAGUAGAAAUUGCAUGCAAUGCUAAUAAGAAUGAUACUGAACGGCUGCUUGAGAGAAAAAGUUGCUCACUUCUCGACGAUCUCUUUUAAGAGGCCAUUGCACCAUUCUUUUGAAUUGUUUAUGCAAUAACUGGUGACCUGGAUUAGUAAUGCAAAGACUACACAUAAUCUCGUGCCUGCCCCACUCCCUCUUUUAUUUUUCCUUGCUGCUCUUUGAAGGACCUUCCUGUACAAACUGAAAUUUGGAGGAUGCAUGUGCAGGGGGUUAACCCCCUAACCCCCCUUUUAUCCCCGAACCAAACGCACACUAAGAGCUCAAAAUGAGAUUUUGAUUAUUAACUUUCGUUCUUGCUACUUGAAAUAGGGGCCAAUACAUAGUUAUAUGAAUUGCCUUUAUUUUAAAGAGGUUUUGAUGAGUUAAUUGCAUGCUAUAAGGCUCCAAAAUUAGGAUUUUAAUCAACUACGAGAUUAAACUUUUGUAGUUGAUUUUAAGAGUUUAGAAUCCUUAAAUUAAGAUGUCAAUCAUGUUCAAAUAUAUUGGCCAUGAAUGUAUGAUAGAGCAAAUUGUUUGAUCAAAUUUAAACUUAGUUUGUUAAUAUUUCGAUCAAUUUAUGCUAUUUUCGUUUUGAACUAUUCCGGUUAGCUUCAAGAGGGUAUAAACAUCUCGUUAAGAUGUCGUUUGUUAAAAUUAAGUAUCCCUAACCCUUAUAUAGGGAGUUAUUUUAAGAUUUUUAUCUAUUUUUAGAGAGUUAUGAACUACUGAAAUUGAAACUUUUGUUCUAAUCUGAGAAUAGAGCAUAAUAGUUGAAAUGAUGGACUUGAAUUAAGUCUAAAUCAUUUAAGACUAAGAUAAAAAUAAAAGAUUAAUGGAGAUACUCAUUAUUUGUAUGUUAAGUACUUAGGACGUGCAUGCCGGAGCUCCUACUGCCGAACCUUCCACGUCUUAGAUCAAUCUUUUCUUAUUUUGAGGUGGAAUCCUUAUCUAUAGAUAAUGAAUCUUAAUGGUCCUCUUAGUAUCAUCCAUACAUAUAUAUAUGCCAUGGCUACUAUACUAUUAUGAGUAUUGGAGCCCUCGUACUCAUAAGUUGUUUUCGAUGAUGGAGCUUCCAAAUCGACGAUCCACUCCGUUAAAUAUGAUCUAGAGUAUUUGAAACUUCUAGAAAAUAAAUUUCGUAAAUUUUCGAAAUCAUAAUAAAGUCCAUCAAAUGGGCAUAAAAUGAACGGUCAAAAUCGAAUGACAUCCUAAAAAAGCAUGAUCGGAUCCUUCAAGUCAAGAUCGGAGUUAUUGAUCUUUAUCUAUAUAGUGAAUAGAAUUUUCUAUCAAAAAUUCAACAAAUUCUGAUUCUUUACACCGUUAAACUAGAAAGUAUCCCAUACCGGCCGUUAAAAAUUGUCAAAUUUGUGACCUCUUGAUCGUAAGGUAAAUGACGUCGAAAAAUUAUAAAAUUUGAUUUCUAGAAGUUUUAAAUGCUGUAAAUAAUGUUUAACGGUGUGGAUCGUCGAUUCGGAAGCUCUAUCAUCGAAAACAACUUAUGAGUACGAGGGCGAUCGUACUCAUAAUAGUAUAGUAGUCGGACCCUAUAUAUAUAUAUAUAUAUAUAUAUAUAUAUAUAUAUAUAUAUAUAUAUAUAUUGCUAUUGAAUGUUCAUAAUUCUUGUUGCAUACUUAAUUAUUAUUCUAAGAACUUAUGCCCUUGUUGUUUAUUCUUUGGUUCAUGAUGCAAUGGAAUUUGAUCUUAUGCUCUAGCAUGUCUCUUUUUAUCACAUUGUACUAGUAGAUGGUAUGCAUUUGUAUUGGAAGGUAGCAUUGUAAUAUCCGAGAUUUUGACAAUAUAAUUAAACCCUUUGUUGACGAUAUUUUUAUGUGUAAUGUAAUCAAAUGUUGAUUUCCGGUGCGUUUUUCGGCGAAAUUCGCCGACGGAACGCAUUUUCGAUUCAGAAUUAUUCCGACAGUGCCUUGUGAUAAUUUGUGUCGUUGUAGAGCCUGGUUGGCUGGUCAUCCAUGUCGUUUCGAGGGUUCGAAUGUGGUAUUCCUAGAGGAUAGUAGUUGAGGCUUGUCGACAGCUCUGGAGAGUGUCGGGACAAGUCCGAGUCGCGAUGGCGCGAAAUAGACACAAAACGAACUCAGUGGGACGCGAGAGCAAGAAUUAGCACUGCAAUAUGCAAAUAGCAGAUUUUUUGCUUGUUGUACCGGUACAACCAUCAUGGCUUACCAGUACAUCUUACUGUACCGGUACAACAUCAAAGGUGUACCGGUACACUGCGCAUGUUCUCGCACAGGCUGCUCUCAGGUUGCCAUUUGUACCGAUACAACUACUCGUGUACUGGUACACCAGGGUAGGUAGAGGGCAUUUUGGUCUUUCCAUGCCUCGUACGUGUCACCCUCUCUUCCCUUGCUAUAUACAGGUGGAGGAGAACUGAGAGAGAGUGUUUUGCUGGUUUCUUCUCCUCUCUCUCUCUAGCAUCGGCCGUGAGCAAGGAAGAGCUCGGGUGGAGUUGGUUUUUCGCCGACGUCGCGUUGCGGUGCCGUUCGAGCGUACGUUCGUCGUUGUAGCAUCGCGGGGAGGCUGGGCGAGGGAGUGAUUCCGCCGUUCUCGACGUCGCGUUGGAUUGGGAGUAGCGUUUGAGGUGGGUUAAUCGUCAGUUUAUCUUCUAAGUAUAUAUAUAUAUAUAGUCGGCAUGUGUGUAGUAGUGUUUUGUAUAUCACAUUUGCUCGAUUAAUUGAUUUAGCAUAGUUACUUAUAAAAUCUGAAUUGGAGUCUUGUUAUUGACUAUCUCUAUUAGUACAUGUUGGACUGGGAUUUGACUUAGGAGAAAACUGCGAUUAUAACCUGUCAUAUGUCUAAACUACCAGAUUUAGCUUUAGGAGCCGUUGUAUUGUUGUCACGCUGCAGUUUCAGCGUGGUGGAUACCCCACAUAGUUUAGAUUUCCGUUACGCUCGUGCUGGGAUGCCGAGUGUAUUUUUACAGUAGCGUUCGGACUGUUGCGGAUUAGUAGGGGCCGUCGGGUUGGCGGUGGAUCUAGAUUACCGUUUUGGCAUUAGAUUGUGCCGGGGGCACGUGACUUGUUGGUUGUUAGACCAGUUGGACCUUGUUAUUUGACUUUAGCUUGUGAGAGCCGGAUUGAGCUCGACAGAGAUACGCUUGCACACUCAGUUGGGUAGCUCCCACGAAUGCCACUCCGGAGACUGGCGCUGUGCUUUUGCAUUGGUGUCGUUCGUGCAAGUUCGACUUGCUCUCCACUGACUGCUUAGGGUGGAGGUAGCUGUACAGUUGCAACCGGGCGGGACGGAUGUGUUUACAGUCCCAAGGACGGGCAUGCUUACAGUCCCCAGUGAGAUUGGGUCAGGUUUGAUAUUUGCUACAAUUGGUUAGUGUAGAGCAUGAUAGUACAAUGAUAUUUAGCUGUAGAUUUCUUCCGGCUUUUCCUCUCCUUGCUUCCUAUUGUAGACUUGGUAGGUGGACCGACGAUACUGAGGGCGGUACCCACUGAGGACUACUUAUUUUUACAGUAGUUCUCACGCACAGUUGUUACCCUUCUUUUGCAGAGCCUUCGGUUCCGGCUGCUGCAUCUUCUAAGACAGAUCGUGGCAAGAGUGUUGCGAGCUAGAGCCUUACCCGACGAGUCGCCAAGAUAGAGAUCACCUGCUGUAGGUAGUUGUACUUUUAUUUUGAAGUUCAUGUGCAUACAGAUGUUGUAACUCGCUAGGGCGAGUAUCUUUGUACCUGGAUGCUUUGUAUCNUGCAUCUUCUAAGACAGAUCGUGGCAAGAGUGUUGCGAGCUAGAGCCUUACCCGACGAGUCGCCAAGAUAGAGAUCACCUGCUGUAGGUAGUUGUACUUUUAUUUUGAAGUUCAUGUGCAUACAGAUGUUGUAACUCGCUAGGGCGAGUAUCUUUGUACCUGGAUGCUUUGUAUCUAUAUGGAACUUGCUUUUGUUAUUACUUGUUUAUUUCCUAGCAGCUCUAUACUACUUGUUGUAGUAUUGUAUGAUUUACAGAUACAGCUACGCUUCGUAUACAGGAAAAAAAAUUUUGUGUACGGCGGAUUUGUCGGCGUGCCCGGGGAACGUGUAAUCCGGGGCGUGACAUAUAAACGACGGGUAAGCGACGGUGGGUUCCGAUGUCGAAUUGGACACUUUCGGGAACCCGGAUCGGAACGAUUAUCCGAUAAUAAUUAUUUCGAAGUGAGACAAUAUUUUUGCUACCAAGUCACACGAAAAUAUGUGUUUAGUGGCAGCGGAUGACUUGUAGCUGGAGUCGGUGAGUUCCGGUACAGUACGUGGGUCCCAGCGGAGUCUCGAUGCAAUUUUCGGGACUUCCGACGUGUUUGGCAAUCGAUUUUGGGAAACAGAUUCUCGUAGGGUUAGUGGUGGGGUUUGUGAGUUAGUGAUUCGUGUUGUGGGUUGGACGCUAACCCGGUGGACCCUUCGUAGGUCCGGUUGUGACUUCCUCCGCAGUUGGAAGGCCAGUACCACAUUUGUACAGGUGGAUACUUCGAUCCGAAGUCGGUACAGUGGUGCACGCUCGAUGACAUCUUCUUACCCUUGUUCUCUAGUUGUUAUCUUGCAUAUAUAUGUCUAUAUAUUGUGUUGAGUCUAGCACCCAUGUUGUUCUCGUUAUACUCUACUCGGUUGUUUUUUUAUGUCUAGUAUCAUGAAUAGAAGUAAAGCAGAUUUAUGAUUUCAUAUGAGAUUGGUGACCUAGUUGGUCGGUUCUAGUAUUCCAUAUCUGUGACCUUUUUGGUCGGUUCAUUGUAUAUGGUAUUGUGACCUACUUGGUCGAUUGGACUACUUGGUGACCUAUACAAUCGGUAUGCCCAGAGAGGUAGGAUUGUCGGCUAGUUGUCGAUGGUUGGCUAUUGAGCAUUCAGCAUCGAUCGUUACUAGUACGCAUUUCACGAACAUCAGCGGUCUGAUCCAUCGCAAGAGGGUGUUCUUUUCGAAAAAAGUGAUUAGAUGUGCCAGCCCAUGAGCCCAGCAGUCAGAACUAGGUUAUAUGCAGCCUGUGAGCCCAGCGGUCAAACUGGGUUAUAUACAGGUAGAGUGGCAGUGGCAUAGGCCUGAGGUUUUGCAGACCAAUAUGGUUGUUUCUGAUUAGGUAUUUUUGGACUUGUUGUCCGGCUGAUGCAUACAUACAGUAGCAAUAGUUGUUCAUUUAUACAUCCUGUUCAUUUAUUAUCGCUGCUACUGUAUUACACUUAUCCAUACCUUUGUUUAGCCUCCUUGACUGGUGAGUACCCCUCGCCCUCGUCGACUUGUGGUACCUACUAGGAGGGAAGAUAUGUUUACAUAUUCUCACCCCCCACCCCCAUUACAGGUGAUGUCGUGGGACGAUUCGUGAGGAGCGCGUCUAGCGAUCGAUAAAUCCACCGUCCCGUUGUUUGGUUAAUUCUCAAACUCAGAUUCUUUAAAUAAAUGACUUAGACAGUUAAUUGGUUCAGUGACUUAUUACUUUUGAAUUCAUACGGUUUUAUGAAUGUAAUAAAGGAUUUGUGGAUUUUUGUGAAAUAGAAAUUGUUUUCUAUCCCUCGUGGUAGCGAGUUUUAAAAGGAAAAGAUUUCCAUAUGGAAAACAGUUUUUAAAAGGUUUUCUUAGUUUUCAUGAUUUAGUGUUUUAAAACGAAUUUCGGAUAGGAAACAUUUUAAACCAAUAGUUGUGGAUUUAUGAAUAACUCUGAUUAUGAAUAUGAUUGUGAAUGGUGUUUGAUUAUGUGUAUGUGUAUAUGUGUGGUUGUAUUCUUUAUGGUAAAUCUUGUAUCUUCUACUUGUGCGACGCCGUGCAAAUAAGGGGGGACUCUGUUCAUNUAUAGGAUGUGUUAUGUUGUUUGAUACCUUCCAUUAUGCAAUCUUGAUUGAAAUGUGUUCCUGGUUGGAACUUCGCACAUUGUAUUGAUUGCUAUGCCUUGAACGUACAGGGGAGACUCUGUCCGCGGUACAGGGGAAACCCUGUCCGUUCGGCGAUCUGUCGGCGGCGCCGCGACCCGGCCAAAUAGGCGGGCGGUCGCGGGGUGUGACAACGGGUUUGUGUACCGGUACACAACCCACGAAAUGGCCAAACCCGAGCCUCGGGUUUGCCUCAAAAUCAUCUGUGUACCGGUACGCGGUCCCGUACCGUUACAGCCAUCAACCACGUACCGGUACAGCCACCAAGCCCAUACCGGUACACAGCCUGCUGAAGGCUACCCGAGAGCUGACCAAAAAUCCAACUUUUUGGAUUUUGGUACACCGCUUUAAACCACAAUUCUCGGGACUCGAACUAUAGGUCGGAACACUGUCAACGACCCACCAGAAAGUCUGAAAAAGCUCGGAACACAAUUAAUCACUCGAACCCCACAAUUUGCGAGGUCCAGUGCGUCACAACCCCGGUGCUUGCCUUGCCGACUCCGGAGGAGACUUUUGUAGUGUACAGUGAUGCCUCUUAUGUUGGUCUCGGGUGUGUACUAAUGCAAAAUUGGCGGGUCAUUGCUUAUGCAUCGCGCCAAUUAAAGAGUUAUGAGAAGAACUACCCGAUUCACGACCUCGAGUUAGCCGCGGUGAUCUUCGCGCUAAAGCUAUGGAGGCAUUACUUGUAUGGUCAGCAUUGCGAGGUCUACACAGAUCAUACAAGUCUAAAGUACUUGUUCACCCAGAAGGAAUUGAACAUGCGGCAGCGGCGGUGCUUGGAGUUGUUGAAGGACUAUGAUGUCACCAUAUAAUACCACCCCGGAAAAGCCAAUGUCGUGGCUGUUAGUUAUAUGCCCUAUAAGCCAAUCUUGUCAUAACUUAAAAGGUUAAUAUCAGUGUACUUUUCUUUUAUAAUUAAACCUAGCAUUCUUCAUUCAUAUUAUUGCCCAAUGCAUAUUUAUGAAUCGUCCAUAGAAGUAAUAGUAGAAGAAUUAACUUUCUAAGAAGUUAGAAAUUUGAGACAUAUAUUCUUCUGUAAUUAAUUCUUAAAUGCUCCUGAUCAUAGGAUUAUUACGAGGGCGGUGGUAAAUCCGGAUAGAUCAGUGUAUGCUGUACUUCCUUUAUGGGAUGACAAGUCUCAAGUCAUUAGUGUGGUGACACUAGAGUAAGCAUACAGGUGAAUGUUGGAGAACAAUUUCACUGAGCGUGACCAACUACGAACAAUCACAUGGAUGUCUACUCACUCGUCAGUGAAUUGUUCCAUACUGUAGUAAUGUGAGUGAUCCUUUGACUUGAGGCACCACGAUUAUCUUGCGUGUGGGUUAUUGUAGUUUGACUGUGUAAAUACUUAUACCCUAAUCAUGGGUUAAGUCAACACAUGUUGGCUGCAGUGGGUCAUACGUGGAGGUAGGUGUGUGUCAAGAUAGAAUCUAUCACCCUCGGUAGAGAGGUAAUUGUCUAAUACUAUCUGUUUUACAAGAUAUAAAAGUCCUUGGCCAAGGCAGUAUGAUUUUAUGGAAAAGAGUUUCCAUAUUAAUUGUUAAUCAAAUAAUACAUAUGAUUGAGUAAUGGGGUUUGACGAGUAAUCCAUAACCUCGGCUCAAUCGGGACUAGUGAUAGAAGGAUUUUAUCACAUGGUAACUACACCUAGAGGUUCCGUCUAUUAUUAAUUCUACUUGGAUUGCCGCGAUAUAUUGCUAGGUGUCACUCGUGGAUCGUGGGACCCAUGAGAGUAAUUAAGAUAGUUAAUUACACUCAUUUGGGAGAGCCAAAAAUGUUUUGGUCCAUCGAGAAGAGUUCCGAUGGUGACACUAAAAGAGUUUAGUGUCACAUUUCACUACCAGAUAGAAUUGAACCUAUGUGGUCACACACAAUAAAGGCUGCGUGUGAACUAGUGCUUGGAGAAUUAAUAGAGAUCAUUUUGCUAAAGUAGCAAAGAAAGGAUUUACUUGCUAAGUUGGUUAGCAAGAAGGACCAAUAUGUAAAGUUAUAGAGUUAAUGCAAUUGUUGCAUACGGUGCACUUGCGCUGAAGUUGCUAAAAGGAGUUUGCCAUCUUUCUCUCAUCAACUCCUCAAUUAAUAAAGAUUAAUUAAGGAAGUUACAAAGUGAAAUUAAACAAGGAAGGGAGAAGACAAAGUGAACUCAGACGUUCACUUACCUUAUUAAUGAUAUAGUUAAUUAGGAGAAAAUGAAAACCUCCUCUUCUCUCUUCCUCGACUCGUUUCUCAUCACUCCACCUAUUAAAUGAGAGUAAUUGACUCCCUAUCAUUUAUGGUGGUAGUUUCUUCUCUCCUCUUUGCCAACAAUGAGAGGAGUUUUGAUUCCCUCUCAUUCAAGGCGUUUAAGCCUAUAAAAGGGGGUGUAAUCCUCCUCAAUGAGUGUGUGUGAUUUGUAAUAAAGUACGAGAGAAAGAGAGAGUUUUUAUCGUAUAUAGAAUUCUCUUUUAAUCAUAAGAGAGAGGUCCUCUUAUAUUAAUUGGUCUCUAUUAUUAAUCCUCUUCAAAUUGCUAGCAUAAUUUUGAGGUUUAAUUUUUCUCCACAUUGACACAAGAGAUCACGAAAGGAGUUUCGAGAUUACACUGUGAUUGUGUGAAGCACAGAUCCCGGAGCAGCCUUGUCUGGAUACACGUAGAGGCUGAACACUUGUGCGGCUCAAAGGACCAGAAGUUCAGAUCCAAAUCAAAUGUGAAAUAAUUUCGGUAAUUUGCACAGGUUGAAAUUCGAACCCUUCUUCUAAUUAGAUUAGAACAAUAAUUUUUGUGUGUCACACGAGAUGAUCUUGGUACAUAUAUAUACUAAUAUCAUAAAUGUUAUGAUAUUAAAGUAUACAUGAUUGGAUCAUAUUUUAUAAAUAAAAUUUAUUUCCGCUGCAUUAAAUGCACAUGCAGAUGCAUACAUUUCCUUACAGUGGCCGAUGCUCUAAGUAGAAAAUCGGCGGAGAAUUUAGCGAUAGCAAUUACGCCUCAACCGCUAUUACAAAAAGAAAUGCAAAGACUUGGGUUGGAAGUGGUAGCGCCGGGAGUGCCGGCUACACUUGUCGCAUUAGUUGUGCAACCGACCCUAUUGGAAAGGAUCAAGGAACUACAGGCUUCGGAUCCUUAUCUUCAAAAGAUACAAGGUGAAGUUGAGAAUGGCAGUGCCGAAGAUUUUGGCAUUGGAGCUGACGACGCACUUCGAUUUCGAAAUCGAUGGUGUGUGCCUAAAGAUGAUGAUGUUCGAAGGGCGAUUAUGCAAGAAGCCACCGGAACUGCCGCUAUGCCCUCACCCUCAGCCGCCUCAUGCACGCGCGCCGAGGGGGCAGGCGGAUCACGACCUUCAGUCGCCGUCGCCGCCGCCUGACGCUCCAUAAGCUCUUGGAGCCGCUCGAACCGACUCUCUUGGCGCUGCACCACGCUAGCUAGCGCAGUCAUCUGCGCCCGCAACUCUUGUACUUCGCUAGAUCCAGCUUGCCCGGGCACCUCAGGAGGCGGUGCCGGAACGGAUCUACGCGUGUAGUGCCUUGGGGACAUUAGCUUCUGAAACAGAACCAACUUUGUUAAUCACCUUAACCCGUUAAACCUCAUUGCACUUACGAAAGCUUACGAAAUAACACGACUCGGCAUCGCAAUUAGGCGGAAGCACACAAGUGUACUUAUUCUAGACUCUUAGUGUCAUGUUGUCGGCCGCCAACACAACCACUGCGAGUCGAGGACUCAUACCACUUGAAUCUGUUUCCAGUCAUUACUAGAAACAUAUUUCAAUCCUGACCCAAUCGAUCAACUCCCGCCACGGUCAUAGGUUCACGUCUCACUCACGUACCUAUAGUUGUUGAUCAAUUCCAUGAUGAGUACUGUUUUACCUACUCCAGCUGUCACGCCCCGAGACCGCUCCCAAUUUGGACCGGGUCGCGGCGCCGCCGACAGACCGCCGAACGGACCGGGAAUUCCCCUGUACGCGGACAGAGUCUCCCCAGUACGUCCAAGGCGUCGCAAUCCAAACAAUCAACGAAUGUUCCAACAAGGAACAGAUAUCAAUCCAGAUUGCAUAAGGAAGUAUCAAAUACAUAAUCUACUUGCUAUUACAAGAAUUCAUUUCACAAUCACGUUAUACAUCACAGUUUCAGUUUACAUUUUUACUUCCAAAUUACAAUCUUACUAUUACACCAGAGUUUGAUACAUUUUCUUUUCUUGUCUUCUAGACCCCUAAGCUAGACUGUCUCAAGGUACUGCUACCUCGUCUCUGUGGCUGGGCGCCGCUACUCUACGCAGACUACCGCCCUCAGUGACCUCGCCCCCGCGCCGCACCACGGAUACGACGUGAAAACCAAAACAAACGUGGGUGUGAAACGCAAGCUCAUGUUCCCAGUGGUAGGCCACCUCAAGGGAAAAGCUCGACGAAUACGCAGUCCUCAGAGGAGGACAUGCAACAUGUCUAAGUCUCAAACAAUAUACAACAGAUAUAUAUAGAUUCAAUUGAAAUACAUGCCAUGCCUCACGAAAUCGCGAUAUGAAAACUCAUUGCAGCAGACUAUGUAGAUCAUUUGAAUUCUCAACUUAUUACCAUUGGCUAACUUUACUCAUAACUUUACUCUAAAGGUUACUAUACACUUUAGGAUCACAUACACUAACCACUGCUAUAAGGUUUCUAUCACCUUAACUCAAGCCCCUCUAUGCUCAUAGCCUCAUAUAGGAGUCUCUACCCAAUCAUAGCUAAACCCGCGACUCCACGGGCUCAUCGAGUCCAAUCAUCCGCGGAUAGUCCCGCACCUUGGCUGCCUCAACGAAGCCUAACCGCACUCUCUCUGAUCAGUCCUCCUAGCGCCGAAAUCGUCGCACACGGCUGAACACGGCUCGAGCACACGACUAACCAUCGGUUGGCGAUCGCGUUGCAUUAUCCAGCGGAGCUCGAGACAUGAGCACUAUCGCGUCUGGCGUGAGAACGGGUCGCACUACACACAACAACGAUCAUGCUCAAACUCAGUCACCUGGAGGCACCCGCAUCGUACUUACCCCCAGCAUGGCAUUCCGUCUAACUCUGGCGCGUCUGAUCCUCAAAUUGGCUUAACCAUCCGGUCGGCGAAAUCGACGGCACAUAACGCCUCACUGGACAAUCGGUUUCAAGCCCGCGCGGGAUCUUCAUGUGAUCGCGCCCCAAUCUACUCUGGUACAUAGCUCGGCGGCGAGUCGUCGAGCACGAACCGCACUCCUAGGCCCGUACCAGGAACAUAGCAAAGUCGCUGGAUGUCCGGAACCACUUACCACAGGUCGACGGCGUUUCUAGCCCAACCCAUAUACUGUUCGAUCCUAGCUCAAUCUAGUGCUAUAACCACUUAUACCUAUCAACCUAGGUUCCAACCACUUCUAGGUCUAUGUCCACAUCACUUAACCUAGAUACACUUCUAGGCUCUCUCUAUCAUCUUUGCCGUAGAUUUAUCCAUUCUAGGUUUACUAGUUAACACUAGGUUUACUAAACUAGUAGUUAGACUGCCACAAACCUAGAUUUGUUUAAUCAACUCUAGUUUUACUAACCAAAACCUAUGUUCUUUUAAACUGCUUAUGAUGCCACUUCGAUCUAGCCUGACAACUUAGUUGUCAGUCAUCUUACUCAUCUACGACGUUAUCGUUGUUUAUAUACAUAUACCAUGCAUCUAUGCUCUUUUCUACUUAGCAAUUACUCUUUGAUCACUACUAACAUGCAUCCCUUUUCUUAGCAUCCUAUCAUCGCAUUAUUAUUACAUAUGCAUUAUACAUUCAUAUCAUGCAUUAACUUAGCAUUUACCAUUAUUAUCUAUGCAUGUAUUAGCAUUAGUGUAACUUGUGCUCACAUGCAUUUCUACUAAGAUUUGUAUCUAUGCAUUAGUCAUAUAUCAUGAUUACUUUACAUUAGCCUAGCAUUAAUCUAAUGCACAUUAAUUCUUUAUGCCACUAUGCAUUUUAUUGAAUAUGGAUUUGCUCUCUAUAUAGCAUUACCAUUAUCAUGCUUCUACUUGCAUCUACUUUAUGCAUCUUUAUUGACAUGACCUCUCAUCUUGUUACAUGCACAUGCUCAACAUGAGAUGUACAUAUGUAACAUAAAGGUGACCUAUGUCGCUUCGGGUAACGCACAAACCCACUUUUAACUCGCCGUUCCGAUGCUCGUCGACACUUGCAAUCGCUCCCGGGCACUCGGCACCCGGCCACGGUCCCGAUAUCCCUGCACCGUGCCUGUCCGACUCAUCCCCACCUCUCUCUCAUCCUGCCCUUCGCGCUGUCCAUACCAUCCGCGACAUCUAUAGGGUUCCUUCUUUCACAGUUAACUAGUUAUGCUCUCCACGCGUCCUCGUGCGCGCACCUCGCGGCUCACACUCUCCAAUACAUGUUUAUACUUCUUCACUCCGCCUUGUGAUCGCACCUCAACAUGCUCGAUCUCAUGAUAUUCAUACCGCAAAACAUCGCCAUCGGCCUUGCUUGCUACGCCCACCGAUCCAGAUUUGCCAAUUUCUGCAAUUAUACUCUUCUUCACUACUCUCCGAUCGCGUCAGUUACCCUCUCUUCUACACCAGGCGCUGCACGUCCCGCACCUCAACGCUCCGGCCUUACCCCUCGUCGCCCGAGGUUUGCGCCUCUCAUUCCCGCAACACUUUCAGUAUCCUGACCCGCUCUUACCUCGCGCACGAGUUUCAACUUUUCUCCCUGCUACUCUAAUCCCCCUACUAUCAUAUAUCCGCUGUCUAAGUCGCCAUGAGACGCUCAAAUGAAUCAGCAAUCCCUCCCUAUAUGUUUUAUUCCAGACAACCCCAUUCGGAAGCUCCCUAACGUACAAUUAACCUCCAAGUAAUCAAAUUAAUGGAUCAACCAUAGCCAACAAUAGCUAAUUAGAGCGCUAAUAGCUGAAAAAUAACACUCCUCAUGCCUCACACGGACUUUUCAGCCAACAUCCAAUUAUCCAAGUUCGAGUUUUUAUUCUAGUUUAAUUUAGCCUCUAUAUCCGACUAUAAGACGCCAGAUGGUGCCGACGCCACACUCUAGCCACGUAAUCAAUCCCCUCGCAGUACACCUUCGCCCCAUUGUUCCCCUCACAGCUCGUCACGAUUCGCAUUUAACCCUUCACGCCUUCGCCCUCUGUUACGCUCUUUGACGCGCCGACUCCCCUUAUUCAGCACGCUUGUCUCAUCCUUAUUUUCUUCCGCCACUCGCCACACUGAACGCUCGUCGCUGUUCGCUUCCUACACCCUUCGCUUGACUCCUUUAAUGUUCCGCUCAUAUCAGCGCGUCUGCUUUACAUGCCGUCAACAAUACGCCCGCCCGCAUUCUUCGGCCAGGCUCCUGACCGGAGCCCCGCACACACCAGCCUAACUCACUGUGUGAAGAUCAUACUGAGGCGCGCUCACUUUAGAAGAGAAUAAUGAGAGGUUUCCUCUCUCAUCCUCCAUGUGCGCUUUGCUUUGUCUUUGUCGGCUGCGCUUGCGCUUGAGGAGGAAGAAGCCUAGUAGCUUCUACUUAUAGUCAACACCUCAAUAGUAGCAUACACUAUUCACAUCAGGCAGCUCCAAAUCUGAUAUCUUUCGCCGGAGCCCUCUGAAUAUCCGUUUGAGCUCAAAUUUGACAGUCAUGUUCGGUUUAAUGUACUGAACAAGAAUAUAUUUUAAGUUUUCAGUUUUGACUCCGUUUGGUCACUGAAAACUGUGCCGAACUGCAAUCUUUAUCAGAUGGCUUUCGGAUGCUAUUUCUCUCUCUACGGGCGUCAGAAAAAUAUGAAACUUCAAAUCUAGCCUCAUUAAAAUAUUUCUGACAUCCCCGCCAAUUUUCAUAAUUUUCUGAGACUGUGCAUUUUCUGCUAAUUAUCUGUCCCAUUUCCAACAGAAAAUUCUAAAUCUUCUGUUUUCAUCCCGAUUUCAAUACAAGUCACUUCUGACUUAUGUUUUACUUCUCUAAAUCCAAUAAAAAUAGUAUCUCAUACUAUUUUUAUUUAUUUUCACUUUUAUAUUUAAAAUCCGGUAUGUUACAUUCCACCGCAGCCUCACCGGAACCAUUUAAAUGUACACCGUAACUUCAUAGUUUUAGAAGUCCGGUACCUUACACCAGCUCCCCCAAAUAGUUCGAUUUUUCCUCCACGGCGACUUAAGGUUUCCAUCCUAGGGCCUCCUAGGUCGAUCCUAGACUUCUCUCUUUACUUGCUCUUACUUGCUCUGAUACCAUAAACACCUGUCACGCCCCGAGACCGCUACCCAUUUGGUCCGGUUCGGGCGCGUCGUACAGACGCCGAACGGACAGCACCUCCCUUGUCCGCCCAAGGCUCAAGCACGGGAUCAUGUACAAGAAUUCGCCCAGAAACAAUUCAAUACAUACAUGAUCCAUACAAUAACAAUAGAGGCACCACAAGUGCAUAACAACAAGAGCAAGUAACACAAGUAUACAUACAAGUGCAAAAAGAGAGAGUUCUAUCUAUUACAUCACAAUCAUCCAUAGUUUACAAUUGAUUUACAUUUUCGUUCAUCCAAAAUGUAGAUACAAGCUCAUUCACAUCUCUCCAAAAUGCAUCUCACAACCUAUACAUCAUCUACUCUCAUAUAUGUAGGCACCUCUAAUGCAAUAGGAGAGCCACUAAUGCAAGGGCGCUAAGCCCUUACGGCGACCCUCGCCCAGAGCACUCGUACUCGGCCCUACAACAAAGUGGGGUGAGAAUUAUCAUCCAUAGUUCUCAGUGGGUUCGGCCGCCAACUCCGCCGAUCUCCCCACUAGGUCCAAGUGGGCACAAGCAGAUAGAUAGAUAGAUAUAUGAAAACAGUAAUGACAUAGUAAGAAAGCUAUGCUGCUAUGCCCAAAUCAUAUCCAAUGUAUGCAUGCACAAUGUGAUAAGUAAAGUAAUCAACUAACAUGCCACUAUGCCUAAAAAGAAAUGUUGUAUACUUGUUCAUCAAUUCUUUUGGCUUAUCCAAUCCUUGGCCAACCCGGAGGUUUGCCCACGACUCACAUGCAUCUCGUGGUAAGGAAACCCAACUCGCUCCCAAAUCUGAGACCGUCUGCGGGACCCCAUAAGGCUAUCCUAGGGACUCCAUAAGGCUAUCCCUCAUGUGACAAAACUCCGGAGCGCACACUUAUGAGAAGCGACCAACACAAGUUCUGAACAGACAGCGAGUAUGAUCCAAUCCUCUCAACUCGAGAAUACCCUAUCCACUAAGGCUAACAGUCACUCGGGAAUCCACCUAUCCCAGUGUCCAUAUGCAAGUGUUUAACUACACUAAGUUCUUGUUCAAUGACUCAUCACUAGGGAAUCCGCCUAUCCUUAAGUUCACAUAUCAAGUGCUACUUUACACUAAGUUUUUUGCCACUCGUUCUAUUGUCAUUGUUAUUUACAUGCCACUCGUUAUGUCUUUAUCAACCAUCGAGUCCAUCUCUUAACUCAGCACUGUAGGAUUCAAUGUCUCGACACAAUCCUUAUCUAUCCACUAUAUCAAGCAUUCAACUCACACUAUGAUAUCAUCUAGGACAGCAUAAGGAAAUGGAAAUGCACAUUUAUCCUACAAUGCGUAUAUGCAAGAGAUGCAAGAUUUAAAAUAACACUAAGACAUAAAGAGAAGCCCAGUUGCUUCGGGAUGACACCACCUACCUUCUGGCAUUGUCACAACUCUAAGAAUGAAGUUCGCCGAUUUUACAACGUCGUCUCGGCCUCCUAGGCGGAAACGAAGCUCGGAAGGUCCUUUUUGCCAGUAACUUUGCACCCACUUGACGAAUCGUCGAACCGUCUUCGCCUACGCGUUUAAACAUCUAGAAAUUAGGUUUACACUUGAUCAAUUUAGAUCAAAACCCAACAAAUCACAACACCCCAUUUUGGAGCCCUAACUUGCAAUCAUGCAAGAAUCCGUCUCUAAAUCCUCAAACUCAUGCAUUAAACACUUAUUAAGCAUGCUAGAGUUCCAACUAAACCGAUUCUAGAGUAUAAAAUCCAAACCCUAAAAGUCUACCAUCAUUGAGCUUAAAGCUUACCUCCAAAAGCUAGCUCCAAGGGUGAAGAGGAAGAAGAAGACGAUGAAGAUCCUUCUCCUUGCUUCCUUCUCCACCAAAACCCUUUUUUUCUUCACCUUCUAGAGAGAGAGGAAGAGAGUUUAGAGAGAGAGAGAGAGAGUUAGGGUUGAGCUUGGGGAAGAAAAUGAGAAGAGAGAGAGAGCUCACACUCAUAUAGCCCCAACUCAUGCUACAAUUGUAUAAAAAUCCCUCAACUUUGCCAAUAUGACACAACCCAACUUGGGCAGAUUCGGGCUACGGGGAUCGGUCUUUCCAAGAGGGAUCGGUCCCCGAGAGUGGUCAAUUUACAGAAAAGGAGUCUUUUCCCCUUUUCCACCCUUACGAGAAUCGGUCUCUCUAACGAGGGACCGGUCCCCGAGAGCACACUCUCGCAGGGCAACCUCAUUCCGAUUUUGCAUACCUACGGGGACCGGUCUCUCCCGCCAGGGACCGGUCCCCGAGAGCAAGUUUUAUGCGCAGAGUCCUCUGCCACAUUUCCAAGCUACGGGGACCGAUCUCUCCCACCAGGGACCGGUCCCCGAGAGCAAAAAUCCAGCACUUUGCAGAAUUUUCACAACUCGCUCUCGGAGGCCAUCUCCAAUGCACUUUUGGCCCUUUUGAUGCCUUCGGACUUUCCGAAGCACACCAAGUCGACAAACAGUCGAUUCUAACUAAAGUUCAACUCUCGUAUUUCUAGAAUUCACUUCCUUACAACAUGGACAUGAACCCCCUCAAUAGGAGGGUGGGAAGGAAGGAAAUAAUAGGUAGGGAGAUUCGGCUCCUAUUGUAACAUACCGGAUUUUGAUAUAAAAGUAAAAAUAAAUAAAAAUAGUGUGAGAUGCUAUUUUUAUUGGAUUUAGAGAAGUAAAAAAUAAGUCAGAAGUGACUUGUGCUGAAAUCGGAACGAAAAUAGAAGAUUUAGAAUUUUCUGUGAGAAANGGUGGGAAGGAAGGAAAUAAUAGGUAGGGAGAUUCGGCUCCUAUUGUAACAUACCGGAUUUUGAUAUAAAAGUAAAAAUAAAUAAAAAUAGUGUGAGAUGCUAUUUUUAUUGGAUUUAGAGAAGUAAAAAAUAAGUCAGAAGUGACUUGUGCUGAAAUCGGAACGAAAAUAGAAGAUUUAGAAUUUUCUGUGAGAAAUGGGGCUGAAAAAUUAGCAGAAAAUACACAGUGUCAGAAAAUUAUGAAACUGAUAUGUCAAAAUUAUUUUUAUGAGGCUAGAUUUAAAGUUUCAUGCCAUUUUAACACCCGGAAAGUGAAAAAUAAAAUCCGACUGCUGCUAUUUGCUAGAGAUUACAGUUUAGUAGAGCUUUCAGUGACCAAACAGGGUCGAAACUGAAAGAUUAAAAUUCUUUCGUCAAGUUAAGUAAAACCGAGCCUGACUUAAUUCAACGGCUUACACUUCAAAAUCAAAGAUCAUUUUGAAGAUAAGUACUUUCCAAAUCUGUUUGAUUUGGGAGUUCGGGUUGCUCAAUACGAGCAAUUUAGAAAAGGAAACAAUGAGGAUCGGCCCAGAUGGAGCCGAAACAAAGAGUGGAACAAAGGGAAAGAGAAAAAUAUAUCUUUCCUUGAAGAAUCGUCGGCUCAUGAAGAGCCGAAUUCGUCUGAAGAGGCUGAAGAUUCAGCUGAUGAAGCCGAAAUAUGUGCAGCCAAGAUGGUUAGAAACCGCCAACCAUACAAAUGUGCCUUGUUAAAGCCUGCUAAAUCAAGUGAGGCGAAGGCACGAGUUUCAGCAUAUACAUAUUUGUUUGAUGUAUCUAUCAAAGACCGAUCUAAUUUUUGAUUGGUUGCUAAAAGACGGACGGAUUCAACUGCAGGAGGGUCAAACUAUACCUCCUGUAGCAGAAUUGAAAAGAAGAAGACAUUGCAAAUGGCACCAUUCAUGGAGCCAUAAGACGAAUGAGUGUACUACCUUUAAAAGGCAGAUUCAAAAGGAGAUAAAUGAGGGUCGGCUCAUAUUUGCCGACGAAGAAAAUAAAAAUAUGAAAAUUGACAAGAAUCCAUUUUCUUUGCAGGUGAAUAUCGUGGACGUUAAGGGAAAGGCAGUCGCAGACAAGAAGACCGCUGAAAACAUCGCUUAUGUCAAGAGGACGCUUCGGCUUUGCAUAAGGUGCAAAGCCGAAAUGACAAAAAAGGAUUGGGAAGUCAUCAUCAACGACAAGAAAAGAAGCAACGAAUGGAGAGAGAUGAUGGACUUUCCAGAGGAGUGGGAAGAGAUUCCCGAAGGAGAGGACAAAUCAGAGGAUGGCUCAGACAAAGCCUCCAACGAGUCUGAACCGGAAGUUGACUCGGUUCAAAAUAAGAAUGAUCUAUUGAUGCAGAAAGUUCUACAUGACUACUACAACAACCAGAGAGAAAAGCAUCACAGCCGAUGAAGUUAUCCAAAGAAACCAUUCGGCUCAAAGCAGAGAUUUCCUGGGUACCGGCCGCACUAGCAGCAUCAAGCCAGGCCGAGAACAGAACCGGAGUUCGAAGGGAUGACCAAGGGAGACAUAGAAUUCCUUGGUCGAAAAUUGGUUAAUGAGCUCGGCAUACAACCAUGGCCGAGACCCUGGGAGGGAAGGGAAAUUUUAAAAAACAUUUGAGAACUGUGAAAGUACCGGCAAAUGUGCCGGUAGAUCAGUGGCAUGAAGUCAAAGUCAAACCAUCAACCAAAUAGCAGGGGCCGAUGUUAACAAAAACACAAAAACGUCGGCAACAGAGGAUGCAAGCCAAGGCGAGGCAACAUUAUGAAGAAGUGAAAGGGAUGAGGCUGAACGUGUGGAGACGACCCAACGAGCCACCACACCCUCUUCGCCCGAUGCGAAAUGAUCAUGAGGUGGGUAGUUCAUCACCCGUUCCUUGGUUAAAAUUGAAGAUAGAACGGCCGAUCACGGCCGAACCAAAAGAGAAGAUGACUAGGAGGGAGCUAGAGGACAAAAUAGCUUUCCUCGUGACAAUCAUCAAGCGAGAACGAUGGCCUCCUAAGGAGAGGGAGGUACGGAUGGAAAGUGACUCUUCAUCCGAGACGGCAAAGAAGUCCGAAGAAAAGAAACAGAAAAUUCAAGAAAAAUCGGCUGAUGAAGGACCAGCUGAUGUUAAUAUGGUUUAUACUCUGCCUUAAUCCUUUAAAGCAGAGUAUACUGAGUACGAAGAGAUAGAUGAAGAAGUUGGGCUCAAUGUGGCUCAAUUGCAGUUAGAAGACACCAAACCGGCCGAUGCAAUGGUUUUUGAAAAACCUUUGGCCAUACAGACGAGAUUUGUGAGGCCUCUGUUCAUUCGGGCCUUGAUCGAAGGUCGGCCAGUAGGCCGAGUCAUGAUAGACGGUGGAGCAAUGGUCAAUGUCAUGCCAACCUCGUUCUUUAAAAGGCUGGGCAAAGGCGAGAACGAAGUGAAGCCAACCGACACAAUCAUGACCGAUUUCACCGGAAGCGAUCAACAAGCUCGAGGGGUGCUCACGACCGAGAUUACGGUACGUUCUAAAACAUUACGAACUGCAUUUUUUGUAGUGGAUGCAGAUAGUCAUUACAACCUACUACUCGGGCGCAAUUGGAUACACGCAAACGAGUGCAUACCUUCCACACUCAACGAAAAAUUAUUCCAGUGGAUAGGAGAUAAAGUUGAAGAAAUUCGGGCCGAAGGACGGCCCCAAAUGGUGGACAUCAACGCAGAAGAGAUCGGCCACAUCAAUUGGGCCGAUGCUGAUCCAGACCAAAUCUCUUUUGUCACGCCCCGGGGUCCCUUUUUGUUUCAAAACACAGCAGAAGUGACUAGAAUUUUUUUUUUUUGAAAACCUGACCCCAGGGUAUGCCAGAUCCCCCACAAAUACAAGGAGUCCACUGUUCACACGGACAGAGUCUCCCCUGUAUUUGCACGGCGUCGCACAAGUACAAACUGUAUAACUAGGAUACAACCACUACCAAAUGAAUAUAGAAACAGCCAUACAUUCAUCCAUUCAUACACCAUUCAUCACAGGUUCACAUUCAGUGUUUAAUCAUAAGUCCACAUCUAUUAGUUAAAACGUUUCCUACCCGAAAACUGGUUUUGAAAUACUAAAAUACAAAAACCACGAGAAAAUCUUUUCAAACCCAUUUCCCACACGGAAUCUCUUUUUUCAUUAAAACCUGCUACCACGAGGGAUAGAAAACUAUUUUCCAUUUUCUAGAAAUUCACAAAUCUUUAUUAAGUUCAGAAAACCAACUGAAAUCUUGAAUAAUCAAACAUAAUGAAAUACUGAACCAUUUUAGCUGUCUAAGUUAUAUCAAUAGAAAUAAAGGAGAUAACAACUAAAUCGAACAAACCGGGUCUGAAGCUCUAUCGACCGCUACGAACGUGUCUCACGUCUCGUCUCAACCCUCACCGCCCGCAAUACCUGAAAAAUGGUGGGGGAGGUGAGAACAUGUAAACAUGUCUCCCCUCCCAGUGGGUACCGCAAGCCGACGAAGGCGAGGAGUACUCACCGGAUCAGGAAGAGAUAAACAAGGUCAAGAGCAGAUAUACUAAAUACAGUAGCAUCAAAUAUACAUGAACAGGAUGUAUAAGAACAACUACCGCUACUGUAAGGAAAAACUGAAUGCAUACAUGGAUAUCAACUAUAGUAGCACGACAAUUGUAAAGAAAGAACUGUAAGUAUGCAUGAAACAACCGCUACUAUAGUCAUAUGCGUCAACCAAACGGCAAGUCCAAAAAUACCCAAUCUGGAAACUGCCCUAUUGGUCCGCAGACCUCAGGCGUGUGCCACAUCUGCUCAACCUGCACAAGACCCUCGCAUAAAGCACCCGAGUCUGGAAGGCAGAUGACCCUAAGCAUAAAGCUCCUGGGUCUACAAGCAUAUAACCCUAGCAUAAAGCUCCUGGGCUCACGGGCUGGCACUUCCAACCACUUUUCUGGAAAAGAACACCCUCUUGCGGUGACCAAACCGCUGGUGUUCGUGAAAUACGUACGAGCAGUGGCGAUCGAUGCUGAUGUGCUCAAUAGCCAACCGUCGGCAACUAGCCGACAAUCACCGCCCCUCGGGGCACACUGACCAAUAGGUCAUCAAACUGUAUGAAACACAAGUACCGACCACUCAGGUCAACUAGGAUGGAACCACUCAACAUCCUAUCGAAGAUAUGCAAGUAUAAUUCAGAACUAACCGUUAGCCACUAACUGACAAUCCUACCCCUCAGGGUAUACCGACCGUAUAGGUCAUCAUAUAACACAACCGACCGAGUAGGUCACGAUAACGAUGCAGUAAGCCGACCGAAUAGGUCACAGGUACGAGACAAAAGGACCGACCAACAAGGUCACAAUACCUGGUGUAACGAACUGACUGACUAGGUCAAACCAAACAUCGGUAACUAGCCGACAAUCCAACCCCUCAGGGUAUACCGACCGUAUAGGUCACAGAUACGAGAUACAAGAACUGACCAAUCUAGGUCACCGAUCUCAUAUGAAAACACGAAACCGCUCUACUCUAGACAUGAUACAGGAUAUGCAGAACAGCUAAGUAGAGCAACAAGGAAAUAUGGUAUAACUACUCUACUCCUACUCAUGAUACUAGGUAUGAAAAACAACCGAGUAGAGUAUAACCAAAACAACAUGGGUGCUAGGCUCAACACUAUAUAUAUAUAUAUAUAUAUAUAUAUAUAUAUGCCAGAUAACAACGAGAGAGUAAGGGUAAGAAACCAUCACCGAGUGUUCACCACUGUACCGACUUCGGAUCGAAGUACCUACCUGUACAAAUACGAUGCCUGUCUCUCGUCUGUGGAAGAAAUAUCAACCGGACCUAAGAAGGGUCCACCGGGUUAGAGUCUAACCCACAAAUAAGAAACACUAAACCCACAACCUCACAAACAAUCCCACGGUGAUCGGUUUUCCAAAACCGACUACCGUAACUUGCCGAAAGUCCCGAAAAUCGCACCGGGACUCCGCCAGGACCCACGAACUGUCUCGAAACUCACCGACUCAAGAUACGAGUUGCCCGCUGCCACUAAACACAUAAUUUCAUGUAACAUGGCAGCAAAGACACUAACUCACACUGAAACUAUUAUCGUCGGAUAAUCGUUCCGAUCCGGGUUCACAGAAGUGUCCAAUUCGACACCGGAACACACCGUCACUCACCCGUCGUUCUCAGACCCUCAAAACGACACGAGUGGACAGCCAACAAGGCUCAGCGACCACACAAAUCAUCACGAAGCACCGUCGGAAGAAUUCUGAACUAAAAUCGCGUUCCGUCGACGGAUUUCGCCGAAAAACGCACCGAAAAUCAACAAUUGAUUUUCAGAAAGGCUUGGGGCCUUGGACGACAAGUCCAGAGGUUUCCCACAGCCCACGUGUGCUGCCCACAGUGUCCCAAACCAUCACAAUUGCAUAAAAGCCCCCCCCGAUACAUAAAAUCACAUUAUUUUAUGUGAUUUCUAGGCUUUUAUGGUCCGUAUACGCAAACCAGAGAUCAAUCAGCCAAACCGAGACCCCUGCUGGUAGGUCUCGGCGUGCCGGAGGCCGUGCUCACCUUUCGGAGCACUGUCGGCCAGUGUGGCAAUCGCACGAGCGACGCGAAGAUCAACGGAACAGCGCGCACAGCUCCUAAAUCGCAUUUAACACACUAACCAGGGCAUCUCUGCCCAUAACGGAGGUGAGCACGAUGUUCAGCACCAGUCGUAGAUCAUCGUGCUCGCUUCCUGAGGUCUAGGGGGAUUAACGGAUCAUCGAAAAGGUGACUGGAACCUCCAAACUAUGUGCAGAAAGCUUUUAAAAGCUUACCGGAGCCGGAGCGAGCUAGGGUUGGUCGCCGGCGGCAGGAUGGCGGGCGUUCCGGCCGAGGAAGGGUGCAUCCGAUCGGAGGGGUCCGGGGCAGGUGUUGGCCGGCGGCAGGCGGCAGCUGGUGGCGCGGCGGUAAGGAUCCAGCCCACCCACUUGCUCUCGAGUUCAAGGGCAACGGCGGCCGGGUGGCGGCCGAGGGAGCUCGGGACGACGUCGGUUCGUCGCCGGAGGCCGAGGGGAAGGUGGUGCACCCUACUGUGGGCGGCGGUGACGCUCGGUGGCCGAGGAGGCUCGGCCUCGGCCCGCACAAGCUCUGGGCGGCCGCAGAGUGGAAGAGCGGCGGCUGGAGGCUUCGGGGACGUCCGGGGAUGCACGCCGGAGGUGUCUGGAAGGCAGCGCGGCCGGCGGGGAGCAACGGCGGCGCGAGGAAACAGAGAUCACCCAGGCUCGGUCUAGGUAACCGCUGUUGGCCGCAACUUGCUCGGGCGGCGCCGGCAACGCACGGGGACGGCCGGCGGGAUCGGCGCCGUAGGUUGGUCUCGGCCAGGGGAAAGUGGUCCUACACGGUUGGUGGCUUCCCGAGCUCCAAGACCUAGAAGGGUGGAGGAUUAGUUAAGAGAGACAAUGGAGAAGUGGCCGGGUGUCACGACCCGCGACCACCCGCCUAUUUGGCCGAGGUCGCGGCGCCGCCGACAGACCGCCAAACGGACAGAGUCUCCCCUGUACGUCCUAGGCAUCGCAAUCAAUACAAGUACAAGAAGUUCCAACCAGGAACAGUAUUCAAGCAAGAUUGCAUAAGGAAUGUAUCAAACAACAUAACACAUCCUAUGUUAUUACAAGUAUUCCCAUUAGAUUCAUUUUUACAUCACAUUAGCAUUGUUACAUUAUAUUUUCUUCCAAAUACAAUUAAUGAUCGCAAUAUUAUUAUAAGUUUGCCCUUUUUUUCUUUUCCCUCUACCCCUAGGCUAUGCCGACUCGGGGUAUCUCUAUUUCUGGUCUCUGGGGUAGGGUGCUAUCUAUGGAGCUACGCCCUCGCCUUGCGCUGCCGCGCCGCUCACGUGCGAACCUGCAACACCCCAAAACAACGUGGGGUGAGAACCAACUCCAUGGUUCCUAGUGGGUACGGCCACCCAAGGGAAGAGCUCCACUANGCCUAUCACUAUAUCAUCAUGUCUAAAACAUGGUAGAAAAGCUAGUGAUCCGUUUCUAUGUCAACAUGUUGCAGUUUAACCGUUUACUAGGUUAAGUGCCCCUUUAUGGCACUUUUGUCCACUAAGUCCAACAUGAAUACUAAGUCCAAGAGCAUAUAUUGUAGGUCAUUUUCUUUGCAAGGAACAUGAUUUCCAACCAUAAAAUAGAAUGCUAUUGCCAUGCAUGCUGCAACGCACAUGUCUCUCUCUACUAUAUAGAGGUAAUUUUUCAUCAUACAUAACACAUGUAUUUUUAGCAUUCUAAAUAACUCGUAGGCUCUAUCUAGCAUGAAUAUGCAUGCGUUUUAAUUUUAUAACAAGUAAAAAUAACAUGGGAGGAAUUUCUCCCAUAUUCCAUGAAGUCAAACCCACCGAAACUCCUCGUAGCCCUUCGUUUGCGUCGACAAAGGUGUCCACUACUCUCCUAACUCCCUAAAGGUAAUAUUAAGAGAGAUAAACGAACGUUACGAACACCCAUUUUGUCACGACCCGCGACUACCCGCCUAUUUGGCCGAGGUCGCGGCCCCGCCGACAGACCGCCGAACGGACAGAGUCUCCCCUGUACGUCCUAGGCGUCGCAAUCAAUACAAGUACAAGAAGUUCCAACCAGGAACAGUAUUCAAGCAAUAUUGCAUAAGGAAGGUAUCAAACAACAUAACACAUCCUAUGUUAUUACAAGCAUUCCCAUUAGAUUCAUUUUUACAUCACAUUAGCAUUAUUACAUUACAUUUUCUUCCAAAUACAAUUAAUGAUCGCAAUAUUAUUACAAGUUUGCUCUUUUUCUUUUCCCUCUACCCCUAGGCUAUGCCGACUCGGGGUACCUCUAUUUCUGGUCUCUGGGGUAGGGCGUUAUCUAUGGAGCUACGCUCUUGCCUUGCGCCACCGUGCCGCUCACAUGCGAACCUGCAACACCCCAAAACAACGUGGGGUGAAAACCAACUCCAUGGUUCCUAGUGGGUACGGCCACCCAAGGAAAAAGCUCGACCAAUAGGUCUAAGGAGGCCCUGCAACAUGUUAGUCCAACAGAUAUCCAACAGAUAUAUAUAUUCAAGUAUUGAAAUACAUGUUGUGCCUCACACUAUGCAAUAUGAAAUUCAUGCAGUUUAUGCAACCAUGCAACCAACUAGUAGUUCAAUCGAUACUACUUUUAUUCCUGUUAUUCACAGUUCAACAAAUUGACUUCUAAGUUUUCCUCUAUCUUAGAUUUCUGUCAAUUAUAAUUCUGCUCAUAGGGUUUAACCUGCUUUUAUAAGCUAUCCACUCGACUCGGUCUUGAGUCAAUCAUACACGGAAUACCGCACAAAGCCAGGCUCAAGGUGAAGGAUGUCUCACAUGCACCUUAGCCCUAAAUCCACUCAACUGGGAUGCAACUAAAACUCAUGUAAUGCAUCAAAUAGUAAAGGUUUACUAUCAUGCUAACGAAUUCGAUCCAUGUUCGAAUAAUAAUGUUCAAUGACAAUGUUCACUGUUCUAUUACCCAAUCUGUAGCGAAGCCCUAGGGUUCGCCAAUAACUCACCUUUCAAUCCCAAAGUGGGGAGGGAGCUCCAAGUGCACCCAAGCCCAGGACCGUCUGCGGACCUCCAUGUUGUCCGGACCUCCAAGUGGUCCUAGUCGCACGACACUCCGAAGUACUCGACGACAAUCCCCCUCAUGUGGGGAUAUGGAUGGCUAUACCACCCCAAAAGCAGACUGUGAGCUAGAUCUAUCCUCUCCAAGUGAGGAUACCCUACAACUAGUGUCAACAACCCAAUCCAAUCCUCUCCAAGUGAGGAUGCUCUACAACUAGAGUCAAUAACCCAAUCAAAUCCUCUCCAAGUGAGGAUGCCCUACAACUAGGGUCAACAACCCAAUCAAAUCCUCUCCAAAUGAGGAUGCUCUACAACUAGAGUCAACAACCCAAUCAAAUCCUCUCCAAGUGAGGAUGCUCUACAACUAGGGUCAACAAUGACUCAGGAAAUCCACUAGUCCCAAAAAUAAUGUCACAAGUGUCUCUAUUACACUUAUUCUCAAAACUUAUCAUAGUGUCUCUACUACACUAGUCCAAAUGCCACUCGAUCUUUGACAUUCUACUUGUGUACAUCGAGUAUUAUAAUUUUCAUGUUCUUGUUUUCCAAAGUCAAUUUCUCUAAUCGACCAAGUUCAACAUGCAUAAUUCAUCUACUAUGUUCCACAAUAUGGCAACAUAUAUAAUUCUUCUAUCAUAUGCAAUAUAUGUCAUCAUGUAUAUGUUUCUAUUUAACAUAAUCCACAAUAUGUUAAUUCAUAACCUGUCAUCAUGCACAUAUAUUACUAGCAUCACAUGAUAUGUGAACAUACAUAUAAUCAUCAUCCAAAGUAGUCUAUACUUAGCAUCUCAUGCAUUCUUUUAGCAUUUAAUUCAUUAUACAUUUCAUCUCAUUGGUAGGUAAUAUCAACUACAUAAUAUGUUUCAAUCAUUCAUAUUAUCAUGUAAGCCUACCAAUACAACUAUAUGCAUCAAUGUGAAUUCGUAUGUUUCUUAGGCAUAAAGGGCGACCAAGUCGCUUCGGUAAGCACAACCCACCUCAAAUCGCUUUCCGAUUGCUUGUCGACAUUUGCAAUCGGCCUCCCGCGGCACCCAUGUCCGGUUCGGCCCGAUUUUGCUAAUACUCACCAACCGUGCGUCAAAUCGUGGCUCCGAAAAUUAUAGGUCUUCGGUUUUGUGCCACGGUGCUCCAAAUCCGUUUUCAUGAUUUUACGAUGUCGCCUCGGCCCUCCAGGCAGAAAUGAAGCCUAACGUCCGUUUCUUUAAUAACUUCACAACGGCUCGACGAAUCGCCGAACCGACUUCGCCAACGCAUUCAUUUACCUAGCAAUUAGGUUUACGGAGGGUCAAAUGAGAUCAAACCCUACUAUUUUACAAAACCCCAUUCGGAGCCCUAAUAUGCAAUUAACCUCCAAAUAAUCCAAAUUAAAUGGAGUAACAUGCUAACAAUGUUCAUUAGAGGCUAUUAGAACACUUAAAGCUAAGGAUUAAGCCAAAUCCCAAAAGCUUACCACAAUGCGAACGCCGCGACGAAAACACGCCGCUCCAACGGCCGCACGAGAGCUCGAACCGACGCCUCCAACGCGUUCGCAAGCUCGCUCUCCACCAACCCUCAAAUUUUUAGAGAGAGAUUUGGAGAGAUGAGAGAGAUCUUUAGAGAGAGAAAGGAGAGUUUCUCUCUCCUUUCCCAUGCGUGCGUGUGUGGCCAUGGUGAUCGGCUGAGGGGAAGAAGAAGCAAUGGCUUCUUUUAUAAUUAACACCCCAAAAUACUAUUCACUCCAGACAGUUUAGCAGUUCGGAACAGUCGGAGCCCUUCUGAAUGUCCGUUUGGGCUCAAAUUUGACAGGCAGUCUCGAUUUAACGUACUGAGUAAGAAUAUAUCUUAAGUUUUCAGUUUCGACCCCGUUUGGUCACUGAAAACUGUACCGAACUGUAAUCUUUAUCAGAUAGCUGUCGGAUUUUAUUUUCCACCUUCCGGGUGUCAGAAUGACAUGAAACUUUAAAUCUAGCCUCAUAAAAAUAAUUCUAACUUUUUUUCCAGUUUUCAUAAUUUUCUAACACUGUGCAUUUUCUGCUAAUUUAUCUGUCCCGUCUCUCACAGAAAAUUCUAAAUCUUCUGUUUUCGCUCCGAUUUCAGUACAGGUCAUUUCCAACUUAUAUUUCACUCCUUUAAAUCCAAAAAAAAAUAGUAUCUCACACUAUUUUUAUUUAUUUUUAUUUUUAUACCAAAAUCUGAUAUGUUACAUUCUCCACCGCAACCUCACCGGAACCAUUCAAAUGGCUUUCAAACCAAAUGUACACCGUAACUUCAUAAUUUUAGAAGUCCGGUACCUCACACCGGGUUCUAGUUUUCCGGCGGCCAGGGCGCCUGCCGGCAGCCGGGGUGCGCGCAUGGGUUGGGCAGGGACCAGCUAAGGUGGGCUAGUGUUAGCUCAGCUACGGGGGAGAUCAAAAGCUAGGGUUUCCUCAUAAAACCCUAAUGCAAUUCCUAUAUAUACAUGUGUACAUCUUGCAAAAAGGUCCCCCUAGAGCUGACUAUUUUCAGUUUAGACCCUUCCAGUACGUGUAACUUGCACAUAAGCCCCUCGACGUUCGAAAUCACGCAAAACGGCGCAUAAAAUAUUAGGGUUUCCGCAAUUUUUCCGUUUUGCGGAUUUUGAUCCCUUUAUGAACAAUUUGCGAUUUCCGAAGAUCCGUCGUCGGAUUUCCAAACGGAUCACGCCAACGCGUUAAGCACGACUGGGGCAUCGAAUCUAGCAUUUCGCUUUGUCCGAUUUGGUUGCCGAUUUACGACGAAAUCAACCCUCCUUGUUCUACUAUAAAAUAUAUAUAUAUACCAUAUAUAUAUAAAUCCACUCAAACCCCUUUUUCUCGAAAAUCGUGCUUCAGAUCUGAAAUCCGUCAGCGCCAUUGGUUCCAGAAUAGCUGAACCGUUCAAAAUGAGCUAUUGGAUCACUAUGAACAGAGUCUGAUACGCACCGAAAGCCAACUCUACUUCGUGGCUCCUCCGAAAAAUCGGAGUUACUAUUCACUUAAGUGAUUAGUAUUUAUCGCGUAACUUCUUCAUUCUAACUCAUUUUCUCUCGAAAUUUGAUGAGUGCUUAUGUAAUUAAAUUACACACAACAUCAUCAUCAACAGAGAGUUUAGCUACACUGCCAAAAUAUCAGUUCUUACAUGUUUUGUAAGAGUUACUGAAGAUGGAGUGUAGUUGAUUCUCUCUAAAGAUGAAGAAGCUAUAGUGGCAACCGAAGAGCCACCAAGCUGGUUAAAAUGGAAUAUCAAGAAUUAAGAACCGAGGCUUUAGAAAAGCUUCGGCAAGAAGAGCCGAUCGACAAGAUCGACUGUGUGAGUAAUUCGGCCCAGCAGGCCGAUGACAUGGUAUGUAACAAGAAGGCUGAAACGGCCGAUGAUGUUGUAGUAAAAUCGGCUAUUAAAGCCGAUACGAAAAAUAUGGUGAAAUCGGCUGUUACAGCCGAUAGUGAAAUACCAAAUGAAAUGAAGGGGCGAACAAUCGAAUUGAAUUUAAAAGAGUCGCCUAUCAAAGACGGUGAAAAAAAAUUGGAAACACAGGAUCCACUAAUUGAGGUGAACUUAGGAUCCGACGAAGACAAGCGACCGACUCAAGCUGUCGGCUCAACAACAGAAGGAGCUGAAAAAAUUGCCGAAGGAGUACAAGGAUUGCUUUGCCUGGAGUUAUGAAGAAAUGUCAGGACUAAGCCGAGAAGUUGUAGAACAUAGGCUACCUAUUAAAAAAGGGUAUAAGCCUUACAAACAGCCGGCUCGUAGGUUUGAGCCGAGUAUUGUACUCCAAAUCAAAAAUGAAAUAGAAAAUCUUUUAAAGGCCGGUUUUAUUAGAGUGGCCCGUUAUGUUGAUUGGGUAUCCAAUAUAAUUCUAGUGUGAAAAAAGAAUGGUAAACUUAGAGUUUGCAUUGAUUUUAGGAACUUAAAUUUGGCUACUUCUAAAGAUGAGUAUCCAAUGCCAAUAGCCGAUAUGUUAGUGGAUUCGACUGCCGGUAAUGAAGUCUUAUCCUUUAUGGAUAGACAUGCUGGUUAUAAUCAAAUCUUUAUUGACGAAGAAGAUGUAGCUAAAAUGGCUUUUAGAUGCCCGGGGUCUAUUGGGACCUUUGAAUAGGUGGUCAUGCCGUUCGGAUUAAAAAAUGCCGGAGCUACUUAUCAGAGAGCGAUGAAUUUUAUUUUUCAUGAUUUGAUCGGCAAGAUAUUGGAGGUUUACAUCGAUGAUAUAGCUGUGAAAUCCAAAUCACAAGCCGAACAUUGGAUUGAUUUAAAGCUCGCCUUUGAAAGAAUGAGAAAAUAUAAUUUGAAGAUGAAUCCUUUGAAAUGUGCCUUUGGAGUCUCAGCAGGAAAUUUUCUGAGAUUCUUGGUACAUAAAAAAGGAAUUGAAAUUUAUAAAAAUAAGGCGAAAGCUAUAUCAGAAUUGCCGUCACCAAAAAGCAAAAAAGAGUUGCAAAGCUUAUUGGGAAAAAUCAAUUAUCUACGGCGGUUCAUAUCAAAUUUGGCCCGUAGAAUAGGAGUUUUUACUCCAUUACUUUGGCUUAAAAGUAAAGAAGAAUUUAUCUGGGUAGAGAAACAACAAGGAGCUUUUGAAAAUAUAAAGAAAUAUUUAUCAAAUACUCCGGUCCUUAUGCCUCCUAAGCAAGGACAGCCGAUGAAACUAUACAUUUCGGCUACAGAGGAAAAUUUGGGAUGUUUAUUGGCCCAAGAAAAUGAAGAAAAAGAAGAACAGGUCAUUUAUUAUUUAAGCCAACGAUUAUUAGAUACCGAAAAAUGAUAUUCGGCUAUCGAAAAAUUAUGUUUGGCUUUAUACUAUUCUUGUACAAAAUUAAGAUAUUAUAUUUUACCAACAGAAGUAUCGGUAAUAUGUAAAACUAAUCUAGUAAAAUAUAUGUUAUCUAAGCCAAUGUUGAGAGGACGAAUCGAAAGUGGAUGUUAGCAUUAUCCGAAUUCUCCCUUAAUUAUGUUCCGGCAAAAGCUGUUAAAGGGCAAGCGAUAGACGAUUUUCUGGCUGAUCAUCCAUGUGUUGAAAUUAAAGAGCCGAAGCAAAAUUGAGUCGACUGUCAACCUUGGAUACUUUACUUUGACGGCUCGAAAACAGCCGAAUCCGCGAGAGCUGGAAUAGUUAUACAGUCUCCUGAGGGAUAUUCAUGUCAAUUUUCUUUUGAGCUAGAUUUCAGCUGCUCUAAUAAUCAAGCCGAAUAUGAGGCCUUAAUAAUCGGCCUCGAAAUUUUACAAGAAUUGGGAGUUAAGUCAAUCAAGGUCAUCGGUGAUUCACAGUUAGUGAUCAAACAAGUGAAUGGAGAAUACCAAUGCGAAACCAGAAUUUGCAAAAUUAUUUGAGAAGAACAUUAGAAUUGCUUUGUAGUUUCGAAGACGUUGAACUUGAGCAUUUGACAAGAGAGAAAAAUGAACAGGCGAAUGAAUUAGCACAAUCGGCUUCAGGAUAUAGAGAGCCGAAACAAGAUAUAGUAAAAAUAGAAAGAAGAUUAUUACAUUCGGUUCAUGUUCGAGAGCCGAUUAUUGCCCCCAUAGAGGUGAAAGAGGAUUGGAGAAAGUCCAUAAUCAAGUAUUUAGAAGACCCCGACAAAAGGGUCGAUUAUAAUGUUUGAAGAAGAGCACUCGGCUAUUGUCUAUUGAAUGGACAGCUCUAUAAGAGAACAUCCGAAGAAGUAUUACUGAAAUGUUUAGGGCCUGAAGAAGCUCUAUUAGUAAUGGGUGAUACACAUGAGGGUUUAUGUGGGGCCCAUUUAGCAGGAAAAAGACUAAGAUGGACAAUUCAGCACUUAGGAUACUAUUGGCCAACUAUGCAUCAAGAUUGCAUAGAAUAUACUAAGGGUUGCCAAGAUUGUCAAUUUCAUGGAUCAGUGCAGAGAGUUCCUGCCUCUGAGAUGUAUGCAAUAAUUAAACCUUGGCCUUUUCGAGGUUGGGCCAUUGAUUUGAUUGGAGAAAUUCAGCCGAACUCCUCGACUGGUCAUAAGUUUCUAAUAGUGGCCGUUGAUUAUUUUACUAAGUGGGUAGAAGUAAAACCCGCUCGAUUGGUCACUCAAAAAGAGAUUAUUGAUUUUGUUGAAGACUCAACAAUUCAUCGCUUUGGGAUUCCCGAGACGAUCACAACCGAUCAAGGAACAAUGUUCACAGGAGGACAGUUCGUUCGGUUCAUUGAAUCUCGGAAGAUCAAGUUACUUCACUCAUCACCGUAUUAUGCUCAAGCCAAUGGACAGGCUGAGGCAGCAAAUAAGGUAAUUAUAAAUCUCAUGAAGUAUAUCGGAAAACAUCCGAAGAAAUGGAAUGAAAAACUAUUCAAAAUAUUAUGGGCAUGCCGAACUUCAGUGAAAACGGCAACAGGGAUGACGCCAUUCCAACUAGUAUAUGGCCAUGAAGCCGUGGUUCCAGCCAAAAUAACAGUUCCUUCGUUAAGAGUGGAAAAGCAAAAAGAACUGUCGGCUAAUGAAUAUAGUAAGUUGAUGAAUGAAGAAAUAGAGGAAACACAUAAAACUCGGUUGAUGGCAUUGAAUCAUUUGCAAGCCUAUCAAAGCCAAGUGUGUGGUGCAUAUAAUAAAAAAGUCAAAGCUAAGUCUUUUACAGUUGGAGACUUAGUUUUCAAGUUGAUAUUACCGAUUGGUCAAAAAGACCGAGCAUAUGGGAAAUGGUCCCCAGGUUGGAAAGGACCAUUUCAAAUUAGCAGAGUUGCAAAAGAAAAUGCAUAUUAUUUAAAAAGCAUAGAUGGGUUAGAAAAUAAAAAAUCAAUCAAUAGAAAAUAUCUAAAAAAGUACUAUCCAUCCAUGUGGAAGAAUGAUCAAAGUCAGAGUUAGAAUAUUACAAGCCAAAUUAAGAUAGUAAAUCCUUGAGUUGGUUCCAUUCGGCUAUCAAAUUGGCCUGGGCCGUCUCUGCGGCUUUUCCCCUACGUUUCAUCAAAGGAUGCACUUUAUAAAGUCGCGAAAGUGCCUCUUAAAGCUUUACUCCUUCAUCCUUCUUGGUCUUCAAUUGAUCUUGUAGGAGUAGCCGUCACGCCCCGAGACCGGCUGAGGCCCUCCCGGUAGCGCGCCCAGACCCGCCAUAUGUCUGCACAUAUAAGGCGUCUACAACAAUAGCGGAAAUAAAGCAAAGGAUAUGAAGGUAAGAAGGAACAAUAACUAAUGAUAUCAGAGUAAGUAUAACCACUAAUACUAGUNUGCCCCUUUAUGACAUUAGCCCAAUCAUUCACAAGUAGUACAAGUCCCCAAGCCUCUUAAGGCUUACUAAAGUCCCUUAUGUCUCAAUUAGGUAUAGGUUUAAAUGCAUGAAGCAAUGUUCAAUUUCAUUGUAAGAAACAUGGUCCCGAGUCCAACAUAAGAAUGCCCAAUGCUAGUGCAACCUUCACAUGCAACUCUCUCUCUACUAUAUAGAGGUCCGAAAAUUCAUUAUACAUGACAUAGGGAUGUUAAGCAUUCUAAAAUUCACAAUAAAUACAUUUAACAUGAAAAUGCAUGAAUUUCCACUUUACGAAGCAUAAGUCACCAAAUAUGAGCAUUUCUCAUAUUGUAGGCUAGGUCAAACCCACCAAAACUCGCGCAACCCUUCGUAAGCUCCGACGAACGUGCCUACUAGCCUCUUAGUACCCUAGAGGCACAAGAACAAAGGUUAAACGAACCUUACGAUCAACUACAAGCUCAGACAUUAACCUACUAAGCAAAAGGGCUACUAAGCAAAAGGGCCAAAAUCUCACCUAUAGUGAAGAAAUCCCUUUCUAAAGCUCAAAUGGAAGUUAAAUCCCUUCCAAAGCAACCUAAACCAAGGUUCUAAUCCAAUUAGAUUAGCUCAAAAAGUCUCAAAUCAAAAAGCCCCAAAUAAACCCUAAGUUUCCCAUUCUAGGGUUUCAUCUCCCAAAAUCCAUCAAAACUAGGUCUAGAGGGGGGAACAAGUAACAAACCUCUUUAGAAGCUCCGAUCCAAGCUCCGAGAGUGAAGAUCUCCUCUUUAGCAAGCUCCAAGUCCAAGCCUUCAAGCACCCAAGGGAAAAAGAGAGGGAGAGAAAGAUGCUCCAAGUCCUCUUAUUGGUCUACUUCUUCUCCUUCCUUCCUUCUUUUCCUUCUCCUUCUCCUUCUUCUUCUCCUUCUCUAUCUAAGGAGUAGGGAGAGUUGAGAGAAGAGAAAUGAGGGAGAGAGAAGGUGGAGUGGCCAUAUAGGCUCUCUAUUGUAACAAAAUCCAGAAAAGUCCCUCUACUUUGCAACCUAUGCAAAGCCCGGACUGGGCAGGUUUCGCCCGGAGGGACCGGUCUCUCCCUGCUUGGGACCGGUCUCUCAGGUCCAUCCCGCAAACCUGCUCUCGGGAACCGGUCUCUCCCCGCAUGGGACCGGUCUCUCCCCGGGAAAACGCGCUCGGGGACCGGUCUCAUCCACCAGGGACCGGUUGCCUCGGAGACUACCGCAACACUGUUCCAAGGGGACCGGUCUCUCCCACCAAGGACCGGUCCCCGAGAGUAAAAAUUCUCAGGACAAAGCUGAAUUUUCAGGAUUCGAACUUUUUAGGUCGGAACACCUUCUACGACCCUACACAAAGCGUGGAAAAGCUCGGAACACAUCCAAUCACUCGAAACUCGCAAUUUGCACGGUCCAGUGUGUUACAGUAGCCGACGCUCGGAGGUACGAGCUAGAGUUGAUUCGGCUGCAGCUAAUUCCUCCUUAAGAGUUAGAAUUCGCUGCUGCAAAGCCAGUUCCUGGUCCGCUAAAGUUUGGUCUUCUCGGCUCACUUCAGUAAUAGGAGACGCUGCUUCGGGUAUAGUUUUCUUAAAAUGAUCAACUUGAUGAAAAUGUUGAUCAAGGGAUAAAAGCUCGGCACCCAAAGAUUGUUGCCGAGAUAAAAAAGAGGAAAGUUGAGACGAUAGAAUCUCUACAAAAUAUUUACCAGCAGAAGAGAUGUUUGGCCGAUCGGCUAAGUCAAGUAAAAAAGCACAGAGCCGAUCAAAUUGCUCUGGAUUCUGAGCCAAAUAUGGGAGACCUUGACUAUAUACUCAUAGACACUCAUCAAAUUGUUGUUGAGUGUUUGACGACAUCACAAUGGUAGUUGAAUCAUCUCCUUCAUUAGAAUUUGGACUCGAAACUAAGAGAGAGUGAAGAGUUGCAGACAGAGGAUCUUCUGGAACAGACGAAGAGGCUUCAGGAGUCAAGUAAGGCUCUGUUCGUGCUUCUUAAACGCCUUCUUCCAAAGGUGCAUUUACAUUUUCUCCCUCUAUUGCUGGUAUUGGAAUAGAAAGAGGUGAUGCUGCACCACUUGUCGACAAUUCUUGGCUCAUUUCUUGAGCUGCCCUCUUUUUCUCUGCUUCUUGUUUCUUUUUUAGGAGAGCCUUCCGGCGGAGUUGUCUAUCCAUUCGUGUCUUCAAAGAAGGAGCAAAAUGGACUCUUUCAGGAGAGGACUGUUUAUUGAGAGAAAAUGAUAAAUAGAUGAAGAAACAAAAGGAUUGAUUAAAGUUCGAUAUUUACUUACCAAAGUUUCGGUAUAUUAAAGCAAGGGUGUCGCCUAGCUAGAUAGCGGGGAGCUACUUGCUCUUAGGUGGUUACUCUCUUUUUGUGUUUGGUGAGAGAGAGAUUUUUGUACCAUGUAUAGAGACCACCUAUGUACUCUUUUAGCACUUGUUUUGGGAUAUCUAUUGUAUUACUUAUGACUUUUAUUUAGUGGCUUUGAACUUUUUUUACCUUAUCAUAAUGUAGAAAUCUAGUUAUACUUUGCUCUGAUACUCCUAGAUGCUCUUUUACUAUUGCUUUAUUUAUCGUUUUAUUGUAGACGCCUUAUAUGUUUUAGACAUAUGGCUGGUCUCGGCACACGCCGGGCGGGCUUCCGCUGUGUCCCGGGGCGUGACCGAUUAAUUUGGUAUCAGAGCCUAGGGUUGAGUCUUAGGGGACCUAGCAAACCUUAGGCUGGUUGGACUAUAGGAAAUAGGCUCGUGAGAGACGAGGUCUAUUUGACUUGUAAGCGAAAGUAUCUUCAUUGGGUAUCUUUGAUAACUCCAGAAAGUGGAGUUGAAUCGAAGUGUACGGCUUCUAACUUCGCGGAGGAUUACGUUGGCGGCCGACAACGUAACAUCGGGAGUUAGUAGUGAAGAAUACUUCUUUACUUUCGCGUGAUUUUGGGUUUUACCUUCUUGAGCGGGGAUUCGAUAGCGUGAGUUUACUAACUUACGCUUUUAUGAUACUGUAGUGACGAUGCCUAUUACACGCUCCCAAUUUGCCGGAGCGGAUAAUGCGGCAAACUUGGAGGAGGUCGAGACCUCCGCUACCUCCGGAUCCGGCGAGGUCUGUGAGUUGAGGGGCUAGCUUGCGGCCCUCACUGACAUGGUGGCUCAGCAGACAGAGGCAGCGCGCCGACAGGAGGCGCGGAUAAAGCGCUUGGAGGAGCUCCUACUUCAACAGGCUACUGUUAGAGAGACACAGGCUCCUACGCCACCCGCACUGGUGGAGGUGGUUGCACCCCGAGGGUCGUCCCCUGCACUCGACACAUCUCGGACGGUGCUUGCGGCAGCACCACAGGAGGAGGCGAUUGCGGCACCACCAGCUCAGGUGCCUUCGGCGGGGGCAGUUUUCCCCGUAACGGUUGUUGGAGAGGAGAGGGACAGACUGAUGGAGCGCCUCAACGAGUUCAGGAGGUGCAGUCCCCGGAUCUUCGACGGAGAGAAGGUCGACCACUAGAUUGUGGAAAAGUGGUUGAUGCAUAUGGAGAAGCUCUUCCGCGACACCUUCGUGGAGGAGAGGGAUCGAGUUUGGCUCGCCACUCACCAUCUGGACAGCGAGGUCUAUCGCUGGUGGUUGGAUCUUCAGGAGAACCCCGGCAUCGACUUGGCGGCCAUUUCUUGGAAGAAUUCAAGGAGCUUCUGUUGGCACAUUACUUUCCGACUAGCGUCAAGAGGAAGAUGAAGCAGGACUUGCGCAACUUGCGCCAGGGAGACCGGACUGUGGCCGAGUACGAGAGGGAGUUUUCUCGGCUUCUUCACUGUGUGCCUUUCAUCGUGCGGGAUGACGAGGAUAAGGCCCGCAUCUUCGAGUGAGGGUUACGGCCGUCGAUUUUUCGAUUCGUGCAAUCCUCUAACCUCCAAACCUACGGGGAGGUGGUGGAUCGCGCGCUCAUAGUGGAGAGCGGCACGGCGGAUGCUCAGGAGCGGCGUGAGGCCAUGGACAAGGGUAAGGAUAAGAGGCCCACGGCUGAGGGUGCGAGCCAGACGCACUCUGGGAGGCCACCGAAGCACCCUAGGAACCAGCAGCGUGGGCAUGGCUCAACGACACAUCGUGGAGGUUCUGAUCAUCGCCGGCCUUCCUAGUGUGUGAUUUGCGGUGGUCCUCACUACCCACUGCAGUGUCCACAGCGGGCGGGCAGGUGCUACCAGUGUGGCCAGGAGGGCCACAUCCGGACUGAGUGCCCGAGAGGCUCGUCACCAGCACCAUCAUCUGCAUCGGCACCGGCUCUACCAGCCGCCAGCCAGGAAACUCCAUCGGCACAGUACGAGCCUGGGCGGUCAUCCGUCCAGCGACGGAGCGAGGGAUCUCGACAGGCCCCGAGUGGGCGCAUGUAUGCCGCUCAGGCCGAGGAGGCGGCAGCAGCCGAGGAUGUGGUUGCAGGUAUCAUUUUACUUGAUGGCUUAGAGUUCGUGCAUUAUUUGAUACCGGUGCAUCACAUUCAUUUAUAGAUCGACUGUUUGCUGAGUUGCAUGGCAUCCCAUUGGUUUUUUGUUGCAUCCGGGACAUGUUGUAGUAUCCGACCACACUUUGGAUAUUAGAGAGUAUUGCCCCAGUUGCCCUGUUCGGAUAGGAGACUGGAUUAUACCUGUGGACUUGCUAGCCUUGCGCAAGCUAGGGAAAUUUGAUGUGGUCUUAGGCAUGGAUUGGUUAACCAAGUAUUAUGCCACUAUCGAUUGUAAGAAUCGCACAGUUACUUUUAGAGAACCGGAGCAGACUGAGGUGAUGUUUUGUGGAUGCCGGAGUUCGCUUUUUGCAAUGACGAUCAGCUCGUCUCGAGCUAGGCAGCUGAUCAGCAGAGGUUGUGUAGUCUAUUUGGUUAGUGUUAUGCUGAGGGGCGAUGAUGAUACCCCUAGGAUUGAAGAUAUCCUGGUGAUGCGGGAGUUUCAGGACGUGUUUCCAGCUGAGCUACCACCGGGUAUGCCACCGGAUAGGGAGAUCAAGUUUGGGGUAGAUCUCGUCCCCGGGACUACUCCAAUCUCAAAGGCGCCCUAUAGGAUGGCACCGGCAGAGCUAAAGGAGCUGAGGGCACAACUGCAGGAUUUGUUGGACAAGGGCUUCAUUCGACCAAGCGUCUCACUUUGGGGAGCUCCAGUUUUGUUCGUUAAGAAGAAGGACGGAUCUUUGCACCUAUGCAUCGACUAUCGUGAACUUAAUAAAGUCACGAUCAAGAACAAGUAUCCGUUGCCAAGGAUUGACGACUUGUUUGAUCAACUUCAAGGAUCGUGUGUGUAUUCCAAGAUAGACUUGCAGUCGGAAUACCACCAGUUAAAGAUCAAACCCGAGGAUGUAUCGAAGACGGCUUUUAGAACACGGUAUGGACAUUAUGAGUUCACAGUUAUGCCGUUCGGGCUUACUAAUGCCCCAGCAGCUUUUAUGGAUCUAAUGAGCCGUGUUUUCAAGCCACCUAGACAGGUUCGUCGUGGUGUUCAUCGACGACAUUUUGGUUUAUUCCCUAUGUGAUGCGGAUCACGAGGAAUAUUUAAGGCUUGUACUUCAAAUACUUCGGGAAAGGGAGCUUUAUGCCAGGCUGAAAAAGUGUGAAUUUUGGCAUCGAGAGGUAGCCUUCCUUCGACAUUUGAUUUCGGGAUCGGGUAUUGCCGUGGAUCCUAAGAAGAUUGAGGCUAUCAAGAAUUGGCCGAGACCGACGAGCGUCACGGAGAUACGAAGCUUUCUUGAAUUGGCCGGCUACUACCGGAGAUUUGUCGAGGGGUUUGCUAAACUAUCUACUCCCCUCACGAGGCUUAUGCAUAAAGGCGCCAAGUUCUUUUGGAAUGAUGCGUGUGAAAGGAGCUUCCAAGAGUUGAAGUAGAGAUUGACGACCGCCCCGAUCCUAACCCUGCCGGUUGCCAUAGCAGGGUAUGUGGUUUAUAGUGAUGCUUCACUUAAUGAAUUGGGUUGUGUAUUGAUACGGAUGGCAAGGUGAUCGCAUAUACUUCUCGCCAAUUGAAGGAAUAUGAAAGGAAUUAUCCUACAAAUGAUCUUGAGUUGGCGGUCGUAGUCUUUGCGUUGAAGCUAUGGCGCCACUAUCUUUAUGGCGAGCAGUGUGAAGUAUACACGGAUCACAAGAGCUUGAAGUAUUUAUUCACUCCGAAUGAGUUGAAUUUGAGACAGCGCAGAUGGUUGGAGCUGCUUAAAGAUUAUGAUCUGACGAUUCUCUACCAACCAGGCAAGGCUAAUGUGGUGGCGGAUGCGCUAAGUAGGAAAUCGACGAAAAACUUAGCGAUGCACGUUGUUACUCAAUCGCAGUUGAUCGAGCAGAUGAAGCGGUUGGAGUUGGAGGUGGUGACUCCAGACACACCUUUGAGGUUAAUGACCUUGGUGGUGCAACCUAUUCUUUUGGAUAGAAUUAAGGAAAAGCAAGCUUCCGAUGUGGAGUUGCACAAGAUUCGAGAGAAAAUGGUUUAAGGUUGCACCGGCGACUUCAUUGUGGAUGAUCAAGGAUUGAUGCGUUUCAGUGGGCGGAUUUGUGUACCGGCCGAUUCGGGAAUCAAAGAGGACAUUCUUCUAGAAGCACAUCGGGCACCGUAUGCUAUACAUCCGGGAGGCACCAAGAUGUAUAAGGACUUAAAGUUGCUCUAUUGGUGGCCCAGGAUGAAAAAGGACGUUGGUGAGUUUGUUACUAGAUGUUUAACUUGCCAACAAGUAAAGGCUGAGCACCGUUUACCUGCGGGAAAACUUCAGAGUUUACCUAUUCCCGUUUGGAAGUGGGAGAAGAUCACCAUGGAUUUCAUGACUGGAUUGCCUCGCUCUCAGGCCUGGCAUGAUGCUAUUUGGUUGAUCGUGGAUUGGUUGACGAAGUCGGCGCACUUCAUACCUAUUCAUAUGACUUGGUCUGGGGAGAAGCUCGCACAAGUGUACCUUGAUGAGAUUGUGCGACUUCACGGAGUGCUUACUUCGAUUGUAUCUGAUCGAGACACUCGGUUUGUGUCUCACUUUUGGAGGAGUCUGCAGGACGCCUUAGGCACCCGAUUAGAUUUCAGCACUGCUUUCCACCCUCAGAGUGAUGGGCAGUCGGAGUGCACUAUUCAGACCUUAGAGGAUAUGCUCCGGGCAUGUGUGAUUCACUUUCAGGGAGGAUGGUCGCAGCAUCUACCAAUGGCGGAGUUUCCUUAUAACAAUAGUUAUCAAGCAAGCAUCAAGAUGGCGCCCUUCAAGGCACUUUAUGGAUGGAAGUGUAGAUCGCCACUUCAUUGGAGUGAAGUUGGCGAGAGAUUGGCUUUAGGCCCUGAUGUGCUCCAGGAAGCUGAGGACAAGGUUCGAAUUGCUCGGGAGUGACUUUUGACGGCACAGAGUAGACAUAGGAGCUAUGCCGAUCGACGGCGGCGAGACUUGGAGUUCCAAGUUGGAGACCAUGUAUUCUUGAAGGUGUUGCCGACCAGAGGGAUUAGGAGAUUCGGGAUUCGGGGUAAAUUGAGCACCCGUUUCAUUGGACCGUAUGAGAUCUUAGAGUGGGUAGGUCCGGUAGCGUAUCGACUUGCUCUACUACGGAACCUAUCGGGUGUGCAUAACAUCUUUUAUGUAUCAGUCCUUCGGAAGUACGUCUCUGACCCGACUCAUGUGUUGGAUGCUACACCUGUGGAGUUGCAGGAUGAUCUGAGCUUCGAAGAGCUACCAGUGAGGAUCUUGGCUCGCGAGGUGCGGAAGCUGCGGAAUCGGAAUAUUCUGUAUGUGAAGGUUCUUUGGAGCAACCACGGGGAGCGGGAGGCCACGUGGGAGCUGGAGAGCGCCUUGCAGGAGCGCUACCCCCAUCUUUUUCAGAUGGAGCUUUGAGGUAUGUUGUUGCUUUCGAGUUUCGUGGACGAAACUCCUUUUUAGGAGGGGCGAAUGUAACACACUGGACCUGUGCAAAUUGCGAGGUUCGAGUGUUUGAUUUGAGUUCCGAGCUUUUCCACACAUUGUGGACGGUCGUAGACGGUGUUCCGACCCGCGGUUUGAAUUCCUGGUGUCACGCCCCGCGACCGCCCGCCUAUUUGGCCGGGUCGCGGCGCCGUCGACAGAUCGCCGAACGGACAGGGUUUCCCCUGUACUGCGGACAGAGUCUCCCCUGUACGUUCAAGGCAUAGCAAUCAAUACAAUGUGCGAAGUUCCAACCAGGAACACAUUUCAAUCAAGAUUGCAUAAUGGAAGGUAUCUCAAAGCAACCCAUAAACACAUCUAUGCUUAUUACCAUGCAUUCAUAUUCAAUCCAUUUGUUACAUCAAAAUUCGUUCCAUUUACGAUUCAACAUUAGCUUUCAUGUAACUUCCAGAACUACAAAUUCCAUUGUAACAAAGCGAAUAUUAUUGACAACUUGUUCUUUUGUCAUUCUUUACAUCCCUUAAGUAAGGCCGAUCAGGGUACCGUAUCUCUGGUCUCUGGUGUAGGGGCGCUAUGCUAUUUGGAGCUACUGCCUCGCCUCGCGCCGCCGGCCCGCCGCUCACGGUGCGAAACCGGGUGUUAACACCCCAAAACCACGUGCGGGUGAAACCCAACUCCAUGGUUCCCAGUGGUACGGCAUCCUAAGGGGAAAAGGCUCUUUCACCAAAUUAGGUCUCCAAGGGAGACAACUGCAAGUUAGUAUCAAUAGAAGGCAGAGUAGACGUCAUAUAUCUCGUAUUAGUGGCCCAACUAAUAAAACCAUGCUGAUUGCCCUCGACGAAUGAAAUCAAUGCAUGCUUAUAUUGCGAAUCAUGCACAUAUUACAAGUAGACAUAAAUGUUUUACUUUGUAUCAUGCUAUCAUGGCUUUUCUCAUAAUUGUAACAUCUUAUCCUUUACCAUCAUUGGUUAUGUUGCCUCCUAAGGUUUUUCACUCUAGCCAAGGCUAACACCCGACUCGCGGGGUCUUCGGUCAAUCAACUGCGGGUAAUACCGCCCAAAACUUAGCUCAGGUGGAGGCAUGGGGACCGUCUAAUAGCACCUUCAACCUAGAAUGCCUUCUCAACUGCGGAUACCAAGAAACCGUAACACAGUAAUGCUGUACUUCAGUUGGGUUUUGGACCCAUGCUUAGCCGGCUUAACAUUGUUAACCCCAAUAACUCAUAGACCCAAAAUCCCUUAUAUUAGCGGGGGAUCGAACUCCUAGGGACCGUCUUCUGGGGGGACUUUACACGGCCCCAGGUUGGGUGGACCACUCCGGAGGGCACCGCGGGCGAGGGGGGAGCUGACCUCCCUCAAGCCAAGGACUGUUAUUCGGGGUGAGUUAUCGAUCAAUGCCUCAACUUGGAGGGCAUUCAUAGCCAACUAGUCACAAUGGCCAAUGUACAAUAGGGUUUCUACCUAUUUCGAAUCAUGCCUACUCUAUGUCAAUUGGUCCGGUGGGCCACUCUUGGGGUUACAAGCUUGUUUACACAACUGGUUCAUCAUGCAUAUCAAUGUCUUUAUUGUCAAUGUCGGCGUUGUGUUACUAAUGUCAAAUCAAACUCUCACUCACACAAUAAUAGUUCGCGCUAACGCAUACAUUCUAUUGAUGGUCUACCCUUUCUCUUGUUCGAACUACGUUAGAGAACAUGUGCAUUGAAAGUAACAAGGUCACAUGUACUUGCCCGUGUUAUGUAUGAACUGGGACUACAAAUGAUAUUUAAUGCCUCAUGCCACAGUUGUUUUGCUAGGUUCAUGACACGUAGUUCACAAACGUUAUACUUGUUCAAGCUUAUGUUUCAAUUACACUAGGUUUAAUUUGCCAGCUUGGAUGCUCAAACGACUGUUCUUUGGCUAGGUUCAUAUCCCUCCAUGUCGCACCUAUGUCCGAUGACUUCUAGGUUUAAUGCACUCGGAUCUAAUUGUUAAGAGUUGUCCCCCCAUAUGCCACAUUUCAUUUUCUUAACAUUAAGUAUCUCCUACAACCAUGAUAUCAAAGCUAUAUCUUAGCAUUAGUCAUCAUAUAUCUUGAGCAUUAGGGCACGAUGCCUUGAUUUAUUAUUCUUACAUCAUGCUUAUAUACCACUUCUAGCAUUUGGAUUCCAAAGUGCAUGCUUGAUCAUGUGAAGCAUUUAGACAGUUGAUCAAUGCAUUCUCUAGCACUUAUUUACACUAAGUCGUUCAUGCGUUUCCGGGCUACUGGUUAUCAUGGUUCUAUAAAUGUUCACCAUUCAAUGCCCUUUAUUCUUAUGCAUUUCAAGCUUAUCACAUGUUUAUCUAGCUUUCUAUAAUAUGUUACGAAUGCAUUUCUUGUUCAAUAUUAUAUGAUAACAGUGCAUCAAUUGAAACUCGAUUUCUUAGACGGAUAAGAGGGACGAACUAGUGCGCUUCGGGUCAGAGCACAACCCACCUCACCUUUCGCAUCGGAUUGCUUGAUCGACCUUGCAGCCCGCCUCGGACCGCCCGCGGGCGACCCGGAUCGGUUUGCCGAUCCCCUCACGGCGGACCACCGACGGAGCGGGGCGCCUUAAUUCACGAUUCGGAAAUUUAAAGGUCUUCGUGUUAUGGUGCCCGACGAUACUUCAAACCAUUUUCAUGAAUUUACGAUAUCGCCUCGGACCUCCAGGCGGAAAACGAAGCCGUAAACAAUCCGAUUUCUUUAAUAAGUUCGAACGGGCUCGACGAAUCGCGACCGUCUCGCCACGCAAUUCGUUUGUACCUAGCAAUUUGGUUUACGGAGGCGUCAAAUGAGUGCAAAUCAUACCUUUUACAAAACCUCAUUCGGAGCCGCUAACAUGCACAUUAACUAAACAUAAUCCAAAUUAAAUAGAGCAAGACAUGUUUAGAAUGCGUUCGUUUAGAGGCUAUUAGAGACACUUAAACUAAGGAUAAGCGCAAAUCCUAAGCCUUAACACAAUGUGAAUGCCGCGACGAAAAGACGCCGUACAACGGGCGCGCGAAAGCUCGAGUCCGUCGCUCCCACCGCGUUCGGCGAGAUUCUUCUCACCAACGCAUGCGAAUAUUGACGCGAGGAGAGUGAUGGAGGAGAUGAGAGGAAAAUCUAGAGGAGGGAGGAAUUUUGAAGGUUUCUCUCAUAGCACCAUGCGUGCGUGUGUGGGUGUCGGGAGGCUGAAGGAGAGAAGAAGGAAGCGUUCCAGCUUUUUAUAAUACAACCCCAAGACUAGCUAGUUCCACUCCCUGGCGGGCAGCUUGAAAUCUGAUAACUUUUCGCCGGAGGCUCCCUUGGAGUGUCGUUUGGCUCAGAAUGACAGUCAUUAUUGUUUGCUACGAUUAGCUGAAAAGUAAGCAGAUACGUAUUUUCAGUUUUCAUUUCUCGACCCCAUUUGGUUCACCGAAACUUGUGCCGAACUGUAAUCAUUAUCAGCAUAGCUGGUCGGAUUUUAUUUCUAUUCUACGGUGGUUCAGAAAAAAUCUUGAAACCUGUUAAAUCUAGCCUCAUAAAAACUUAUUUUCGGACUUAUCGCUCCAAUUUUCAUAUUUUCUGGAGACUGUGCAUUUUCUGCUAAUUGCUAUCUGUCUUGCUUUCCAGACAGAGAAAUUGCGGUAAAUCUUCUGUGUUUUCAUUCGAUUUCCAGCACAACGUCACUUCUGCGCUUAUUGUUGCGUUUAUUCUAACAAUCAAUAAGAUCCAGCACCAAGUUUCUCACACGUAUUUUUAUUUAUUUUUAUUUUUACAAAUGGGCUGGUAUGUUACACCUGGACUUUUUUGGUUAAGUCCUGGGGGGUUUCACUCUCGGGGACCGGGUCCGCUGGGGGUGGGUGAGUGUUGGAACCCCACGAUAAGUCCUCAUCAUAUAAGAGUUAUAAUAGGGCUAAACUUCUAAUAACCCGACUUAAGCAUUUUUGCGGGUGGUGGCCUAGACCCAAGAGGCUAAGGAGAGUUAAGCUGCUAAGUACCGGGAGUAGUCCGUAGGAUGGGUGACCCCUGGGAGAGUCGCGAGUGUCACAGGAUGGUAUCAGAGCCCAUUACCAGCGGUAGUGUGAGAUGACGUCUCGGCUGAGCCAGGAGUUGUGAUGACGGGCUAGCGAGACGAGUCUCACAUCGCCUGGUACUUGUGAGUCUGAGCCUGACGAGGACGUCAGGGCUUAAAGGGGGGGAGAUUGUGAGACCCCAGAUAGUCCUAUAUAUAAGAUAUAAUAGGGCUAAACUCUUAACCCGGCUUAAGCAUUUUGGGUGGUGGCUAGACCCAAGAGGUUAAGAGAGUUAAGCAUGCUAGGACCGGAGUAGUCCUAGGAUGGGUGACCCCCUGGGAAGUCGCAGUGUCACAGUGAGAGACCGGUCCCCUGUUGCGUGGAUGCGGCUGUUUGCCGAGGCAACCGGUCCCCUGGCCAGGGAGACCGGUUCUCGAACGUGUGUUUUGCGGGAGGGUCCGAGAGACCGGUCCCAGGUGCGGGGAGACCGGUCCCUCAUCCCGAAAACUGCCCAGACCUGGCAGUGCACUGUUUUGACAGUUGAGGAGGCUUAGUGGAUUUUGUUACUUUAGAGGGCUUUUAGGGCUUUUCCUCUCUCUCUUUCCCUCACUUUUCACUCUCUCACACUCUUUAGAAAGAGAAGAAGAAGGAGAAGAAAGAAAGGGAAGAAUGAGGAGAAGAUGAAGAGAGCAAGGUGGACUUUGUACUUCCCCCACACCCUCUCUUCUCACCAUUGGUGGCUUGGAGCCUGGGCUAAGAGCUUGAUAGAGGAUCAACCUUCAACCCUAGAGCAUUUUGAGCUUGCUUUAGAGCUACCAAGGAGGUUAGUAUGCUUAAUCUACUCUUUGGAGCAUGUUUUGGUAGGUUUUACCAAAUGAAACCCUAGAUUUGAGAUUUAGGGUUUAUUUUUGAGGCUUUGAUUAAAACUUUUGGAGCUCUAUUGAUUGGUUGAGAACCUUGGUAUAGGUUGCUUUGGAAGGGAUUUUGGCUUCCAUUUGGGAUUUCUUAGAGGAUUUCUACGCUAUCGGUGAGUUUUUCACCCUUAUGCAUGAGUUGCUUAAUGUUGAGUUUUGGGAUGUUCGUAAGGUUCAUUUAACUCUUGUUCCUACAUCUUUUUGGUGCUAGGAGACUAGUGGGCACCUUCGUCGGAGCAAACGAAGGGUCGCAAGAGUUGUGGUAGGUUUGACUUUAUGAAAUCAGGGCAAAAUGGCCCCUAUGUGUAUUACACUUGUCGUAACGUCAAUUUGAUUGCAUAUUCAUGCUAAAUGGGAUUUAUGUGAAUUUUAGAACACUUAAAAUGCAUGUGUUAUAUAUAAUAAAAAUUUCACUCUAUAUAGUGGAGCUAUAUGUGUAGGCUGCAUGUAUGUGGAAGUGUUUAUCUUUGCGAGUUGAUUACAUGUCUCGUGUGAGGGAAAUGAUUAGAAUUAUGUAUUCAUGAACAUAAUUAUCAUGCUUUGACUUAGUGAACAAAAGUGUCAUGAAGGGGCACAUGAACUAGCAAAUUGAAAAACUGCAAUAUAGAGACAUAGUGAUAGGCCAUUGACAUCUACUAUAUUUCAUGUUUUAGACAUGAUGAUAUAGAGAUAGGCCCUUGUGACAUUUGAUAUAUUCCAUAUUUUAGACAUGAUGACUUGAGACUUGAGACUUGAGACCUGAGACUUGAGACGGAUCUUACGCUUGCUUGCCAUUGUGCUCAUUCGCACAUGCUUGUGAGGGUCGCUCCCUACAAGCCGGCACUCCGGAGAUGGCCAUCGCGAUACAUAUUCGCCGUGCGGGAUUGGGCGCCGAAGUGGAUUGUCGUGGGGAAGGCUUAUUCCUAUAAUGGGGAUGUUGACUACCACGGGGCCAUUAGGCUCGGCACUGGCCAGACAGCCUACGGGUGGGUCUACAGGCCAGACAGCCUUCGGGCGGGUCUUCAAAGAUUUAACUUUAAGUAGUUAACAUGCCAAGUGAACAUUGACUAGAAGAGUAGACAAUGACAUUUUACUAUCACAUUGUGGACAUUAUGAUGGUUGUAUUCUCGUGCAUUUUCAUGAUAGAAUAGCUUUCUUACUUAUGCAAUUCCAUGCUAAGUAGAGACCUCAUGUGGUAGCAAGUACUCAUGUUUAUUUAUUUGUCGUAUAUAUCGCUUUUGCUUAUACUUGUACAGACCCUUUUCCAGUUUUGGGCCUAGCAUGGCGCUUUUCACUGAAGUCAGUAAUUGCCCACUGGGAACUAUUAUUUAAUAGUUCUCACGCCAUAUGUUUUAUGAUUUUAUUUCAGAGCCUUCGGCAUCGGCGGAGGCACGGGAUCGCGGCAAGGGUGUCGCCUAGCUAGAUAGCGGGAAGCUACUUGCUCUUAGGUGGUUACUCUCUUUUUGUGUUUUGUGAGAGAGAGAGAUUUUUGUACCAUGUAUAGAGACCACCUAUGUACUAUUUUAGCUCUUGUUUUUGGAUAUCUAUCGUAUUACUUAUGACUUUUAUUUAGUGGCUUUGAACUUCUUUUACCUUAUCAUGAUGUAGAAAUCUAGUUAUACUUUGCUCUGAUACUCCUAGAUGCUCUUUUACUAUUGCUUUAUUUAUCGUUUUAUUGUAGACGCCUUAUAUGUUUUAGACAUAUGGCGGCGGGUUUGGGCACGCGCCGGGCGGGCUUCCGCUGGGUCCCAGGGCGUGACAAAAACAUAAGCCGAAGAAGCGCCUUCGGCCUGUUGGGAUUGCGAAUGUGGUCUCUUGACGACUGACUUACACCGCUUUGGAGGCAGCGGAGGAGUAGUUGUGUAGUUUCAAUCGGUCUUUUUUCUGAAGCUGGGACCGAUGGAGAAACUGGAACUGACUGCAGAUAAAAACAGAUAAAGAAAAAUAAGCGUCACUUGAACUAAGAAAAGAAAAGUGAAAGUAAAUAAGAGUUUAUUACAGAAGAAGAAGGUGAGACAUCAGAGGCAGUAUCAAAAAUCUAAUCUGAUUCUUCUUUCGGUACAAUUGGAGUAGCAGGAUCAACUGGAAGAUCCUUGCUUGGAAAAGGUACUGUUGUAGCUGAGAGACAAAUAAGUAAAAAACUAUAAAAAAAAAACUAUUGUUAUAAAAAGAAAGGAAAAUAAUUAUAAGCAAGAAUUGUAUCAAUUGGGAGAAUAGUCUGGCGAUACGCUUGUGUUGCAGAUCAGCUGAAAAUGUGAUAGGCAAAAUGAUCUCAGGUGACGGUAUAGCGAAAACCUACCACCCAUGUAUAAUUCGGCCUGAAGCUCACUAAUUUGAAGAACCGCCGAAGGUGAUUCCCCAUAGCCGAAAUUCGAUCAGCUUCGGCUAUACUUUUGGUAGAGGGGUCAGUUAACGACAGUAUUGGCCGUGAAGAACUUGGCUGGAGCAGGGACUGCUUGAGUAAAUCCAAAUUGACGAGCUACGAACUGAGGAGAAUAAACCUCAGUACUAUGCAACAGUUUCGAGCGCGAUUUCAUGCCAACGUGCAAAUCCCUUGUUGCCAAAAAAGAGUACCGAACAUCUUCAUAUUCGCCGGCACGAGAAGAAGCAAGUUCGUCUUGAAGGGCUUCAUACCUUGCUAGAAGCCAAGACGGGCCGGUGACACGGUCAGCCAAUGGAGACCAAUGAAUGGAGAAAUGAGGACGAGACUCAUAAAAUAUUUUAAAAUAAGAGAGAAAAUCAGAAGGGUGACCUGAUGUUAGUGGCGGAGGACAGCCGAGAGCCAGCCCGUAAGAAUCAAAAUGAGCAGCCGAACCCGUAUCCAAAGGAGUUCGGCACAAAUUAGGGAAAUAAAUCUGCAAAAACAUUUGCAAAAACCAGAAAACACCACAACCCGAACUGAUCAUUACACCGUCUCCAGAGGGUAGUGGUUUGAUGGAAUAAAAAAUUUCUCUAUAAACAAAGGUAAGAAAGUAAGGCCCAAGAGCUAAUCUGUCGCCGUUAGUUAAACCAACGACGAUUGGGAUGAAGUCCCGAUUAAUCUUCUGCGAACGAAUACAGAACAGAUUGUGACAUAACCAAUAUAGGAGGAACGCUGUGUGUUCCUUCCUAGUGACAGGAGCAGGGGAUUCACCUGCAAAUUUACGGAGAAACAUGGAAUAAGCCAAGUCAGCGAGGUCAAGGUGAGCCUCAAAGUCAGAUACGCCAUCAGGAUUGUAGGCCAUGGAGAGGGUAACACCAUGAGGCCGUAAACCAACGAUGGCAGCUACAUCUAAGAGAGUCGGAGUAAGAGGUCCCCCUUUAAAAAGAAAAAUAUUGGAAACAACAGACCAGAAACAGAGAGCAGAGGCCAAAAGAAGGUUGUCGGCUACAGGAGGCUUCCGAGAUAGCCGAAUAGCUUCAUAAAUCCCAACUUCCAGCCAAAAGUCACCAUAGGCAGCCUCCACUCGAUCUAACCAAAUCAAAGAAGCAUCUGAAACACUAGGCCAAGUUCGAAGGCUUUUUCCUGUUGAAGCCCGGGUACCAGGAAUGGAGAUGAAUGGAUUUGGCCACUAAUGGAAGACCGUCGCUAGAAUAAGGGAAAUCAUCGGCAGGCGGGUCUUCAGUAAAGGAGGGACCCAAAAUGAAUCUAGUAGGGUCCGUAACGAGAUACGAUUUGAGCAGGGUAUAAUCCAGCGAAGGACGAGUAGGUAAAGGCGGGAGCGGCUCCAUUAUUCGAAGCGAAAAGACGUUAAGGAAGAAGAGAAUGAGCAGAAGCUGUGGACGAGAGAUGGAGAAGAAGUUGAAGAGAACGAGGAAGAAGUAAAGAGAAACGAAAAAGACAAAGGUUGAGUAUAAAAGGGAAUUAGAAGCUUGGCGAAGAAGAAAGGUUGGCCGUCGUGUCGAACCGUCGCAUCGAAGCGAGUUUCGAGGACGGUUAUAAUGAUGAAUGGACGGUGAUAAUUAAGAUGACCUAAUUAAUGCCGCAUGUAAGACAAAAAUAGAUGGCGAGAUCGGGGCCGUAGAAAAGAAAUGAAUGGCUGAAACCAAACCGUACAAAGGGUUUGGAAAUUAAUUAAAUCGAGGAUCGCGCCUCAGAUUAUGUCAGCCACUCGGACAGAGAAUUUGAAAUUGAUUGGAUUGAGAACCACGCCUCGGAUCGCCCUUGUUAUUGAAGCGAUGGCGGGAUUUCAGCAGUAGAAAGAAACGGACGGUUGAGACGGAACCAUACCAAGAAUUUGAAAAGUGAUCACACCUCGGAUUACGCAAGCUACCGAAGCAUUACUUUGAAAGCUGCCGAGGGGGCAAUUGUUGAGCCAAUAAGGCGCGGACAUAUGGUACACCGGUACUCCAUUCAAUUGUAUUGAUUCGCAGUGCACCGAGAGCAUCGGAAGGAUUUAAAACCGCAUAAUUUAAAAGAAGUUACAGUAACCGCAAGCAGUUGCAAGCGGUUUCGAUCGGGCUAGAAGUGGUUCGAAAAAUUAGGAAGUAAUGGCCGAUCGUGUAAAAGCAAUAACUAAUCAAUAGGGCAAUCUAUAAAUAGAAAAAUAACGCCCUAAAAAGGGGUCUUUUUCCUGUGAACAAAAGACCGCCCUUAUUUCCUUGCAAUUUCCUACAUUUUCUAGGAGUACUCUACUUGUAACUUUUACUUUCCCGCAUUUACUGUUCUUCUUAGGAGUAGUUCAUUAAGUAGAUCAACCGAGUCUGCAUGCCAUCGAGCACACUCAACCCCUGUACUUCUUACCAGUUAAUAUAAAGGCAUUCGGCUUUUCAAGCCGACCAAUUCCUGUGUUCUUUAGUCAUUCGGCUUUUCGGCCGACUUCAGUUCUUGCUUCGUCCGUACAUUCGGCUCAUCCAGCCAAAUUGAAUUUAUUGUAGAGGUUUCAAACCCGGCUGAUUCGAUCUCUCGUCAGCCGAAUCGCUUGAUCGAUCGAAGGGCGCAAACUUCGAGGGUCACCAUCCGAAGCCGUUUUUCAUCCUGACACGCUCCCCGAGGAGGAUUUUUGACCGGGUCAAAGGUCAAGGAAUUCAGCUCGCAACAGGCUCAAAUCUGUAAAAUCCAAAAAGACGGCCUACUUUUACAAAAGCUCAAAACUAAUAGAUUUUUUAUGCAAAUUGGCCAUUAUUUUUUGAUAAUUUUGGCCAUAGGGGUUGUCUCGGGGCUUUUUUAUAAAAUAACCCUCCAAAAAUUUCAAAUUGACAAAAUAACUCUAUCAAAAUUUUAUUUGAAAAACUAACCCUCCUUUUGCCACGUUGGAUUUUUUCUAUAAAGGCGGUGAAUCAUUCACCGUCUUUCACUGUCUUAUCUGUAUUUAACUUUAGGACUUAGACAAAUUUCGAUAAAUUUGGGGUAUUUUGCACUAAAGGCGGUAAAUCAUUCACUGAUUCAUCGCCUUUAUAGCAAAAAUUUGACGUGGCGCCUACGUGGCGAAAGAAGAGUUAUUUUUCCAAAUAAAAUUUUGACAGAGUUAUUUUUCAAAAUUUAAAAUUUUGAAGGGUUAUUUUAUAAAAAAGCCCAUAGGUCUCGACUAUGGCUGGCAAAUGAGCGAGCCGGCUCGCGUUCGACUCACGUUCGACUCGAUAUUUGGCUCAAAAAUAUUUCAAGCCCACGAGCUUGAGUAUUACUCGGCUCAAGUUCGAUAAUUAGGCUCCGAAAAAGCUCGAAAAGCAUCAAUAUAUAUAUAUAUAUAUAUAUAAUAUAUAUAUUAUAUAUUAUAUAUAUAUAUAUAUAUAUAUAUAUAAUAUAUAUAUAUAUAUAGAGUAGGCUGGUAUGCUUAUGGAAGGCACGGAGCCUCCGUGCUUCCACUUUGUUUUCAAUUUUCCGGACUUUCGAAUCGACGAUCGCUCCGUUAGAGUUGACUAAGUAUUUGAAAGUACGAGAAAAUAAAUUUGUGAUUUGAUAUCAUUUGCCUAGUGAUCAAAGGACCUCAAAAUCAAUAAUUUUAAUUGCCGUGUGAGCGGUUGCAAAGUUUAACGGUGUAGAAAUAUCCAAAUCGCAUGAAAUUUUGAUAGAAAAUCUUUAUACAUAUAAAACAAGAUCAACUUUGAUCUAAAAUUUAAGUCAUAUCAUCAUAUUUGUAAGAUUUUAUUUUCACCGUUGAUUUAUUGAGCCACUUCAGAUCACCUAGGCAAAUGAUAUCGAAAAAUCGCAAAAUUAUUUUCUUAGAUACUCAAAAUACUCUAGAUCAAGUCUACAGGGCCGAUCGUCAUUCGAAAGUCCAACAUUGAAACAAAGUGAAGCACGGAGCGCUCCGUGCUUCCAUAACAGCAUACCAGACCAGCCUAUAAAUAUAAUAUAAUAUAUAUAUAUAAUAUAAUAUAUAUAUAUAUAUAUAGGAUACUAGUCCUUUCGAUUUUUCUAUAUAUAUAUAUAUAUAUAUAUAUAUAUAUAGGAUAUGGUGCUUUCGAUUUUUUGAUUCUUAGAUCAACCCCUUUAAUCAUUUCUUUGAAUUAAUACUAUUAUUAUCUUGUAGGACCACUCAAUCCUAGGGAUAUUAUUUAAACCUAGGGGGGACCGCAAUCAUCCUAACCAUAUAAUUUUUAAUCAAAGGGUCAAAAAUUCGAAAACAUCAAAUGCUCUACAUUUUCGAUAGCAUAGUAGUUCUACACUAUAUAUAUAUAUUAAAAAAUAUAUAAAUAUAAUAUAUUUUAAUUAUAUAAUAUAGGCCGAGUGAAUAAUCUGAGUUUAGUUAAAAUUGGGCCAAUGUUGUUGGCCCAUAAAAACAAACCCAAUAGACAAAUAAAAGAGCAAAACUUCACUAAAUUUAUACAUUUUUGCUUUCUUUCUUUCUUUCACAGAACUAUAAAUUUUCAAUAUGUUUUUCUCUUUAUCUUUUUCUGUCUCUCACCCUAAGCGGCCAAGUCGGAAGCCCUCCAAGUUACCAAGUAACAGCAUAUGCCUGCCGUUGCCUACCUUGCUAUUAAUUGUAUGCUUGAGAAAAUAUACAGAAUAUUUUUAAAGUAAAAAAUUAUUAUUCAUAUAAAAUUUAAUUUUUGUUAUAUAUGAUUGGAUAGUUUAAUCCAAUAUUCAUCUAUAUAAUUUAUUUAUUUUUGACUGUAUAAAUGAAAAUGAAUAAUAUGGAGAUUGAAGGCGGAAGAAAAGACAUAUGAGGCUGAAAAAAUUAGAUAUUCAACUCAUAAAUUAUUUUUUUCAUAUUAUAAAUAUAUAAUUAUUUUGUACUUUGAACUAUUAGACAUAUUUUUGUAUCAAAUUAUAGAUAAUGUUCUAUACAAAUUAAACUAUUGAUCGUAUGAUGUUGAGAAUUUCAAGCGGCUCGUUUAGGGCUCGAGCUCGCUCGACUCGAAAUUAGGCUCGCUCGAGCUCGGCUCGAAUUAAUUUCAAUCCAAUCUUGAGCUUAAAUUUAAGCUCGAAAUUAAUUUCAAGCCGAAUUUGAGCCCGGCUCGUUUCCACCCCUAGUCUCGCCUAUUUAACCACUUUCUGCAAUCCGUUUGUCUGGUCCUAGUCCUUGCUGUCUAAGUCAAUUAGAAUGAAGGAAGAUGGCGAAUGCCCAGUUAAUCACUCCGUCCAUACGUUUCACUAGCAGGGCCCGGACUGCGGAGGGCCAGCGGUGGUGGUGCUGCAGAAAACCGAUCGACGACCCCGCAAUUAACGGGAAAGGCAAACAAAAAAAAGGCAAAAAUGUCGGGCGUUGAGGUUGAAGUAUUGGCGUAUCGGGUGGGGUAGGGUGGUUUGCUGGUUGACUUUAAUUUGCUUCCCGAAAAACAGAAACGAGCUGGAUUUUAAAAAAAAAAAAACAGUAGGGCGGGGGGGAAGAGGAGACCCGGACAGGGAAAAGGGAAAUUUUUGCAAGAAAAAGAAAAAAAGGGGAAAAAAGAGGAAAAAGCAGGCAGGCAGAAAGAAAAGAGAGGAGGAGGAAAUUAAGAAGGGGGAGGAGAAAUGAAGGAAGGAAGGGUGGAGCAGCUGCUGGGGCUUCUAAAGGUGAAGGUGGUGAGAGGCGUCAACCUCGCCGUCCGAGAUGUCAGGAGCAGCGACCCCUAUGUCAUCCUCAGGAUGGGUAAACAGGUUAUUUACUUGCUUUACUUUCAUCCCUCUUCGACUUUCGCUAACCCUCCCUCUGCGUUCAUCUCUAUCACUCCCUCCUCUAUUCAUAUCCAAGUCUUGUUUUUUGUUUUUGUUUUUUUUAAAUGAAAUAAAGCUUUUCCGAUUCUUUUCCCCUUCUUGAUAUACGAUACGACUCUGCUAUAUUACCUAGUCUUCUUGAUGAGCAACAUUAAGUUCUAUAACCAAAAGGGGCGUCGCGUUUAUUUAUUAAUAAUUUUUUUUUGAGCUUUAAUUAUAAACAAAAGAGAUUAUAAGAUUAGUAGAAAAUGUGGACGGUUGGAUAUAGAGUUGUAAAAUUACAACCAACUUUUGGUUGGUGGGCGCUUUUGGCAGAUACCCAUAAGGUACCUUUUUUUUUUUUUUUUUUAAUCUUUUGCUCUUCUAUAUGCUGAAGGGGGAAACUCGUAACGGGCCUUCCUUUGUAUCUGAUCAUAUUUACCUGAUUGUUUAUUUGUUUGUUUUCGCUUUGUAUGUACAGAGCUUGUAAUGCAAUGCGGUUUUACUCAAAAAAAAAAAAAAAAACGAAAGGAAAAGAAAAGAAAAAUUUGACAAAUGGUUCUGAUGAGUUAACUUGAUAAUUAUCGACUUAUCCGAAAGUAUAUCGACUUAUCCGAAGUAUUCAUUCAUUAUUGCUCUUUUUGUUUAACCAUAUUAAAUUAUGAGUACUUCGGUGAGGAUUUGAAGCAAUGAGAGCUUCUCCUUUUCUUUUUAUUACCAAUCUAGUGUUACUGCUUAAUAUCUGGUCUGCGAUGCGAACUGAUUUUAUUAUCCAAGAACGAUUUGGGGCAGGUAAAGGGAAGAAAAUUGACCUGCCCCUAAUCCACUGCCAAGUUCCACUGCAAAUUUGCCUCGAAUUUUUCCAUAUUAUUACUUAAAUUUUAUGAAUUUCUUUGGAUUUUUCCCAAGCUUGUAUUGGAUUUUUAGUUGCUUCUUCAUGAAUGUAUUUUGAGAUUUAGUUGCCUUGCUGAUAUUUUAUUUUAUUUUAUUUUCGUUUUGAGUCAAAUAAUGUAGAUUGAAUUAUUUGGGUCAGAAUUCAUAUAAUAUAAAGAUGAGGAUGUGUAGUUAAUUGGUAGGAAGGAUUUGGGGCUUCAGAGAGAGGCUUAUUUCUAGGUAUUGGUUGUGACUUGUGUGGGUGGGGGUGUAAUGUGGGCCGUGCUUGGUCGGCACAGCCGCACAGCCCACAUUACCUGGGCCAAAACGGGCUAGGGGCUUGCUCGGGCUAGGCCGGGCUGGGCCGCAGUGUUGGGCUAGAUCUUCCAGGUUCCCGGCCUAGCACGGCCCUUCAGCCUGGAAGGCACAGGUCGAACCGUGUCGGGCCGGGCUUUGUUUUAGGCUGGUCCUUUAAUUUUUUUAUUUCUAAUUUUUUUUAAAGAAUCUAUAAAAUUUUAAAAUGUGAAAGAUCAAAAUAUUUUUAUUUAAACUAAUGUUUUGAUACAAAAUUUUAAAAUUUACAAGAAUAAUUGUAAAAUAAUCAAAAAUAUUAUUUUUUUUUAAAAAUUAUAAAAAAUUUAAAUUUUAAAAAAAGACUUAGUGUUUUGGUCCAAUGGGCCAAAAGUGUUUUGGUCCAUACCCGGUCUUCUAGACCUUGGGGCUGCGUUUGGUUAGAGAACUAAAUUUUGGAGAACAACUUUUGUUGUUCCCGAGAACAGGGGAUAUUCCGGUAUAAGAUAGAACAAGAUGUAAAUUACGUUUGGAUGUUGUUUGUUUGUUCCUAGAGAAUAUUCUUGAUAGUGUUUGGAUGUUUAUGUUGGAAUAAGGGGUUGGAAAGAUAAAAAUUAAAUAAAAUGACAAAUUUGCCCUUGAAUAUAAAAAUCAAAUAUGAUUUAAUAAAUUGAGUAUUAAAAUAAAUUAAUUUACAAAUUAAGUAUAUUUGUAUAUUAUUUUGAAAAUAUUAAUUUAGUAGUAUUCAAUUUAAAUAUUUUUUUUCGAAACUAAUUUAAAAUAUAAAUAUCUAAAAUGGAAUAGCACUUAUUAAAUUAAAUUAAUCAUUUAAUCGAUUUCUUUUAAUUUACUAAAUUAAAUAUUAAUAAGUCAAAAUAGUGUGGCUUUUAUAAAUAAAUAAAAUUUUCAAAAAAAAUCCUAAACACAUCCUAAAGGGUUAAAGGGCAAAAUGGUAAAGUAACUAAGCCUCCAAGUUGUUCCCCCUAAUUCUCCCAUUUGAGGAGAACUAGCUUAACGGGUUGUUCCUGGAACAACCCGUUAAGCCCGGAACAAGGGCCUUGUUCCAUUUUGCAUUGUGUUUGGGGGGAUAAAGAGGGAUAUCCCGUCUUGUUCUGGGAUAUCCCUCCAACCAAACACAGCCUGGGAGAAAAGCCUUGGGCCUGGGGGGUCGGGCCGUGCUAUGUCGGCCCACUUAGCACGACCCACGCUGGCCGGGCCAUGCUAGGCCGACGAGCCCAAGGGUAGCGGCACGGCACGGCUCAAAAUAAUAGGGCCUGGCCAGGUCGAACCGGCACGGAUACUGUGGCAUCCGUGCUGUGUUUUAGCCAGAUCAUAGUCUGUCCGUUUGACAUCUCUACUUGUGGGGAUCGCUAAUUUACCUUGACACAAAGGUUGCGCGGAAUACUUUGUGGGGCAUGAGGUAAUGUGGGCCUCUCGCCCGAUCGUCCAUCUCGUUUUCAUUCGUAGGGUGUACCCAACAAAAUCUGCUUCAACUAUCUCUAUAAGCACUGACCAUACCUAGCGUCAUUGUAUAAGGGUUUGAUUGUUGGUACCUGAGAUCCCAACAAGUUUGAAUUCUAGUUGCUUUACAUUUCUAGCUGAGUUCAUUCCUUAAAAUAAAAAAUGAACAAAGCCGGUAGUUUGCUACCUUUCUCUGUCUCUCAAGAAAAAGAAAACCCUAUAAGCCAUUUUCAAUGAUGUUUUUCCUUUCUUCUAAGGAUAUGCUAUUGCUACUUUUGCAUUAGACGAAACGGAGAAAUAUAAAAGUGGAACAAAUAAAAACAAGUCUCAUAACUUGUUUCUCUAUGUUAUUUAUUGAUGUGCUUAUAUAUGUCUAUGACCGUACAUUCAAAUAUCACAUAUUGCAAAUAAUUUUCUUCAUCCUUCAUUAACUGUUAUUUUGCGAAUAGCAUUGCUUGCUCAUGAUAUAAUUCGUUCAUAACAAUUUUAUUUGGAAUUUUUAUACUCCUGCAGGCAUUGGCGUUUCUUUAUUCAUUCAUAAUAGAAAGUAUUUGGUCUUUCUCAUAAAUGGUUAAAAUCAUUGCAAAGACAGCAUAUAAAUGAAGAUCAUUGUAAAAUAUAAUUGGGUUGAACCACAUACGGUCUAUUAAAAUCUUAACAGGACUGAACUAUUUUUGUAUAUAGCUCUAUUAGAAUAAGGACCAUGUGUAAAUUAAAAAUGUAGAAUUGACUCUCUUGGAUUCACGUCGGCACCAUGUUGGUCGGCAGAGGGUUUUUUUUUUUUUUUUUUUUUUCGUUUUUAGGUAAAUAUAUGGAUACCCCUCAACUAAAGGUCAUUUUGAAAUAGAGCCCUCCACGUUUAUAUUUUUUUUUAAAUUGAGACCUCAUCUUCCUUUUUUUUUUAAACUUGAGUUUUUAUACUUAGGUUAAAAUUUUACUCUAGUUUUAUUUGUUAAAAAAAUAACUAAAGUUACUAAAUUUGGUAAAAUUCCCAAUGAAUUUAUUAGAAUCCCCAAUUUUUUUAACUUAAAUUAUUUAACUCCAAAAUAAUUAAAAGCUAAGGGGUCCCAAUCAAAAACUAAUAGUUGAGGAUUUGGCUUCAAAAUGGCCUAUAGUUAAAGUUAAAAGCUAAAGGGUUCCGAAAAAAAAAAAAUAGUUGAGGAUUCAAUUUCAAAAUGGCCUAUAGUUGGGGGUGUCUCCAUUUAUUGUUACCUUUUUAUUUUAAGUUCAGCAAGCAAGGUAAAUUAGUUGGCGCGCUUGAAACACAGUAAACCAAUUUCCAGGCCCUAAUACGGCCAACAAAAUAUUGUUUUCCAUAUGAUAUUUUUAUUAUUAUGUUUCUUGACUUGUUACUCGCCAACCUUUGUAUAGUAAAUGUAAAACAAAGACAGUAAAUGAAAUAGCAUGUAUAGAACACGGUAUUUAGUUAACCAUGUUUCUGUGAGUUAUUUUGCGCAUUGUUAGUUAAGGCUAACACAGUGUCUACUAUACCGUGUUUCGUGACUCACCCUUCGUAAGCUGAUGUGCAAGAGCAAAUGACCAUUUGUCAGACUAUCAGUUUUAAAUUAUUAUUUGGCUCAUUGUUACACUGUAGUUAGUGUUAGUUUCAUUUGCUACAUUAUGCUUUAUUUUUUUUCAAAGACACUAUUGUCUUAUUAUAUUUUAUCAGUCUCUACACUAUAUUUUAGAUUUAUUUUCUUCUUACUACCUUACGUUAUAUAUCUAUUUUUUCUCAUAGAUAUCAUUGAACUUUUUUUUUCUCGCCAAUCUCUACAUUACCAUCAACAAACCUAUUAAGAUAAAAUCUAACAACUUUAUUUAAGAGGCACUGGUUAAAUAGUAUAAAAAAUGUAAAUGAAUCUCCAUGAUAGACUCAUUGAAAACUUCUAUCAAAUUAUUUUUAAGCGUAACUUAAAGGCUAAAUUACAGAAAACCUUCCUGUAAUAACCCGCUUUUUCACUUUCCCCCCCUGACAUUUAAAAACCUACACUUUGCCCCCCUGUAAAAUGAAAAAUGUUCACAGGGGGGUUACGGUGUGUAAAAUGACCAUUUUGCCCCUCGCCAUUGUCGUCUUCUUCCCCAUCUUCCUUAGCCGCCCCUUCGUUCGGCCGCGAUUUCUACCUCAAUCGGCCGCGAUUUCUCUCCAUUUCCUUCUCCACCUGCUCCCCUUCUCCUCCUGCACCCUCGCCGCCCUCGAUUUCGGCGACAGUAGGAGAAAACCGAGGUGGGCGACAGUAGGAGAAGGGCAAAGAAGGCGAAGGCGAAGCGGUAGAGGACGGCGAAGGGGAUGUGGGUGAGGGCGAGGCAGUGGAGGACGGCGAGGCGGCUAGGCGGCGAGGCGGGGACGAGGUGGCGAGCCGGAAGGAGUCGAAGCAACAGGGAGAUGGCGGAAGGGUAUUUUCGGCAUAAAAAUAUAUUUUUUAACGGAACCCUGACGGAACCCUAACGGUAGGGGGUGAAGUGCACAUUUUUUAUUUUACAGGGGGGCAAAGUGUAGGUUUUUAAAUGUCAGGGAGGGAAAGUGAAAAAGCGGGUUAUUACAAGGGGGUUUUCUGUAAUUUAGCCUAACUUCAAAUUGUCUUCCUGUGGUUUAGCUCAUUUUCACUUUGCCACUUUGGUUCAAAAAGUUUCUUUCCCUCUUGUGGUUUAAUUUUUAUUUAAUCAAAGAAUUCUAUAUGAAAUAGGGUGAUAAAUAAAAAUUUUUAGAAAACCACAGGUGGCAAAAUGAAAAAUGCACUAAAGCAUGGGGGCAAAGUGCAAUUUUUUGAAUCAUGGGGUGGCAAAGUGAAAAUGAGCUGAACCACAGGGGGGACAAAAUGAAACUUUUUGAACCAUGGGGUAGCAGAGAGAAAAUAAGCUAAACCACAUAGGGCAAUUUGAAGUUUACCUUAUUUUUAAUUACUUUUUUGUUGUUUUUAUAAGUUUUGUUAUUUUUAAUGUCAAAAUGAGUUGAAUAUAUGACUUGCCACUUUUAACCAGUAUUUUUUUUGCAGCUUUCAUGUUAAAUUAUAGAUUUAUUGAGGACCUUUUUUUUUUCUAAAUAAUGCUAUAAAAAUUUCUUGUUUGCCAAAUGAUUGUUCCAAAAUUUUGUUUGGUCAACUAACCCUUCUUUUGCUAACUCAUUAUAAUGUUGGACAAAAAUAAGGAAGACGGUAAAUCGUUCACCAUCUUUAGAAAGCGGCGAAUCAUUCACCAUUUUCAUAUUGUUAUAGUUUUUUUGAAUUGGUAGUGCGGAUUUUUGUGAGGCUAUUUGUGACACCCCAAUAGUCCCACAUCGGAUGGGAAUGGGGUUGUCAUUGAUUUUAUAAAAGAAGUUUGACACUAGUAAUAAUAAUUGGGCUUAAGCAUUUUGGGCUGGUGGUUGGGCCCAACGAUUUAUUGUUGCUAGUGGACUGGGUCGUUACAUUUGGUAUCAGAGCCAAUCACCAGCCGGAAAUGUGUGGCGAGUUCGGCUCAGUCAAGGUCUAAAAGACAAGGUGAUAGGCUAUGCCAGGGUCUGGAUGACAAGGCUAGCGGAUGAGUCUCACAUCGCCUGGUGAUCUUGGGUUGUGUGUGUAAUUGGACUGACGAGGAUAUCAGGUCCUUAACGGGGGGAGUCUGUGACAUCCCAAUAGUCCCACAUCGGAUGGGAAUGGGGCUGUAAUUGGGUUUAUAAGAGACUUAAACACUAGUAAUAAUAACUGGGCUUAGACAUUUUGGGCUGGUGGUUGGGCCCAACGAGUUAUUGUUGCUAGUGGGCUGGGUCGUUACACUAUUAGGAUUGUAUAUCAAUUACUAGAAAUUUUUUUUUGAUUGUUAUCUGUAUCGGUAAGUUGUUAUUUUUUUGGGGGUUGUUAGAAUUGUGUGUGAUUUGUUGAAAUUUUUAAUGUGGUUGUUAUGAUUAUAUAUGGAAAAUUGAAAAAGAAACGGUAAAUUAUUCACUUUUUUUUUUUUUUUUACGGGAGAGACAGUAAAUGAUUCAUCAUCUUCUAAAUUUUAUUAAAGAUGGUGAACGAUUCACCGUUGUCCAAUUGUUUUUCCACGUUUGCGUUGAGUUGGAUAAAAUAGGGUUAUUUGGUCAAAUAAAUUUUUUGCAGAAUCAUUUGGCAAAUUAUAAACUUUUAAAGAGUUAAAUUGAAAAAAAAAUCUGUUUAUUGCUUAUAGUGUAGGGAUUGAAAUUAAAAUCUGUGACACCCCAGUAGUCUCACAUCGGAUGGAAAUGGGAUUGUCAUUGAGUAUAUAAGAGGACUCCACCCUAGUAAUAAUAAUCGGGCUUGCAUUUUGGGCUGGUGGUUUUGGCCCAAUGAGUUAUUAUUGUUGGCGGGUCAGGUCGUUAUAUUUAUAUUCUGGU
rnacentral:lncRNA from 1 species